rnacentral:lncRNA from 1 species
AGGGAGAGAGAAACGUUCAAACUGAAAGGAAAAAAUGGUGUAACUAUUUUCAAACAAAGGUAUUAAAUGUCGAUGGACAUGUCAGAGACAUCGGAUCAAGAUCCGAGGGUCAUCCACACUUUCCCCUCCGUAACGUGUUAUCGCUGGAUUAAAAUCUGACGACCAACAGGGGCGGAGUUACAGCGUAGACAUUGGGUUCAGAUGAGGAAUUGGAUCCGAGCCUACACAUAUGAACCCCAUGAUUAUAGUGUAAUGAACCCAGUGGUUUCCUUUUCUGGCUCCACCCGUGACGACCAAUCACGUCGACUUGUCUCUAACUAAAAAAAUACAGACGACUUCUUAAUAGCAAAACAUGAAAAAGGAAUAUAAUGUCUCUGUAAAAUAUAGAAAGACGUGGUUCUCCGUUAAGAUGUUGUGGUUAUUUCUCUUCUGUCAGUUGACCAUUUUUGUCCCCGUCUGAUCCAGCGCCGCUCCGUUACCGUACCAUGUUUUUUCACGUCAUUAUCCGUCCGUAUUCCUUAUUUGUUUUUGCAUUCAUAUCAUGUCCGUGCCGCUUCCAAACCAAUGGAAAUUGUGAAAUAAAAUAUGGUACUAUAUAAAAUCAUUAUCCGGUCCCGUUUUACAUAUAUGCUAUAUUCCUCAAGUAUGUACAUCGAUCGCGGUCUUGUAUGAUUCAAAAACAAAAACGAAAUAUCAGUAGAGAGCAAGCGUACAUGCACACGCAGGAUAUGCUUUCGUUGGUUAAUUCGGUGUACGUACGGACCACCGCGAUGUCUCUGCGCCCGUCGACGUCACACACGCUUACGUGAGUGCGUGCGUACAGUCGGUGAUUAAUCGAUCCGGAAACGUGCCAAUAUAGUCUGCAGCCGCGCCGGCUUUUUAUACUCCCUGCAAUCAAUGCACCCGGCCCUCUCGUUUCGGCCGAAAACUGCAUACCACGCUCGAUCGAAUCAUCCAAGUAUACAGAUACACACAUGCUUCUCGAUGACUCGAUCGAUGGACUUACGGUAUAAUCGUACAGUAGUUGCUUUCGCUUCCAGACGUAGGUACACGGAACGACGAACCGGGAAAAACGGCCCUCCUGCUCCUGGCUUGGAAUCAUUCCACCUCUGGUGGAAAUCCUGGACCACCCGUACGUCCAUAUGCUCCCUUGCGAGUUGCAGACACGUUAUACGUACUCAUGUAAUCGCUCCGUUUCAUAAAAAUUGACACGAUUUUAAAUCAGAACUAAGUUAAAAUCAUGUCAAUCUUCGUGAAACGGAGGAAGUACCUGACAGGAAUGCAUGCAGGGAUCAGGCACUCCAGUUUGGAGUUGGAACGGGGCACACAUGUGGAAAAAGUUUCGAACUAACAAGGUGGCGACUGCGACCAAAGCCAGAACCAUUUUUUGUCGAGCACGAUCGAUCGACCUGCAGCGCCAGAGCCACUAGAGGGCCCAGAUCAGCUUGCCCCGCCCCAAUUCCAUGCGUUCCGGUUGUUUCCUUUCGAGCCCCCUGCCCCAGUUGCCUGCCCUUUUAUCUCUCAGCGAUCAGUUACGUUCAUGCAUUCUUGGCCACACGUACCUACACUACAAUCGGUACUACUACGUACAUGCGAGAUAGCUAUGUCCCGAUCGAGCCUGCAAUUAACGGCAACUCGACCGAUCAAUCUGCAAGUAGAGACAGUAAUCUCGAAUUUGGUUCAAAAGCAGGCAGCGAAUCCUGGAACGACCAAGUUACACGGUACUCCUAUGUAAGCUAGUACUAGUACAACUAGUAGCAUGCCACCGGUGGAUCACUCACCUGGGGAUACAAAACCGUUCUCCUUCGAUUAGAGUCGUCUGCAUUAUUGACAGUUUCGAUGGACCAGGCAGACAGAAGCAAAGCCUGGAUGCGCGCGGGAUCCACUUGUCCAGCAAAAGGGCACGAAUCGGGGAGGUCACAGGACUUAAACAUACGAUAGGCCACGCGAGCCAAAGGCGUGCCGUACUGUGCUGCCCCUGCCUGGCCUGUCGUGUGAUGUGACAGAAAAAAAUUAAAGGGAGCGGCGAACCUGCGUUUCAUGAUCAUUGAUAGAUGGAUGGGUGGAUCGAGCUAGUAUUAAGCUGGUUGUGGUGUGUGUGUGUGGAGGGGGGUCUGUCUUUGAAAAGUCGACGCUGCAUGCGGACGUUCAGUUUCAAGUGGCGUGCAAGAUGUUCCUAGUGAAAAUGUGAAAUCAUGGGGGAAAUAGGCGAAGUUUGCAGGGUUGAACGGCACACCGCGUUUGGCUGACGGCUCUAUGCGCGGAUAUGAUGUUUUCUUUUUAACGAAUAUUCUGAUAUUUUUCAAUACCAAAACCGUAUUCGGAGUUAGCUGGCGUCUGAAUUUUAAACAGAAGACUUAAAUCUCCGGACUCUUGAAUUAAGAUCUAAGUGUCAUCCCCACUCUCUCUUCUCCCGCAUGCUGUUGUUGGAUUAAGAUCCAAUGUUCAAACACGUCAGCUGAUCGCUAACUAAGAAACAAGCGACUUCUUAAUAGCAAACCGUUUUCUGAAUCCCCACAUUCGAUAAUAAAAUUCCACCGGGAACCUACCAUGCUGUAUGCAGAUAUCGACCUUCUUUUUUUGGAUUGUGAUAAGUGUAUUUUCAUAGUUUAAAUAUUGUUCACGGUGCAAAUUCCGCCCUUGCGUGGCGGGUUAUUGGACAUUCAACUGUGGAUACCGAGCUUAGCAAAUUUUUGUCGAACUCUUUUUGGAAUGGAAUGGAUUAAUACAAUUUGACUAAGAGUCAUCAUUUUUAUGGUUUAGGGUGGUGGCUGCACCCCAAAACCUACCAAGGAUCGAACCCCAGGUUUGACCCUCGGCGUGUCUCAUUUGAGCCGAAUUUCUUUUGGCAGUAGGAGAUGCAAUCCGUUCACGCUUCACACUGAAGCGUCAGUGACUUCGUCGAUCUCAAAACGUUUUCACGAUUCUGGUCAUCCGUGUGAGUGUGUGCGCACGGCGGUGUACGUCGUGUGUGAUCAUUGUUCCUAAAAUAAAGUACUUCCUUCGUCUAACAAAGGAUGUCUGAAUUUUGAUUAAAUUUGAAUGCAUCUAUACAUCAAGUCAUGUCUACAUACAUCAACAUUUUGACAAACUUGAGACAUCUUUUGCUGGACGGUGAAAGUAUAGGAGCCCGGGAAUAGCCGCAUCUUAUUACAAGCAAUUAAUAUUUCGACCCUGAACCAGUUUGAGCUUAACCCCAGUGGAUCGGAAUCGGGUUCACUGAGCGAGCGAGCGCUCCAUUACAGAUUUUUACAGGCACUGAGGCACCGUCUCUUCCUGCUGCCCCCCUCCGGGGAGCUAGCUGCGUGCUAUGGACCGCCCAUUCGUGGAACGGGCUGUACCCACCAAUACCUACGUACCUGCGCGCCUGCCAUGCCACCCCUCUGCCACGGGGGGCUGUCGGCUCCAAAGAAUCAUGCAAUAAUUACCAGCUUCUUCUAUCGGCGGCAUACAGAGGAGAGGAUUGAGCUUUUGAGCAUCUCGUGUGCAGAGAGAAUCUCUCUGCCCGUUCGCGCCAGGUGGAUGUAUUUACUUGCGCCAGGAGCAAACGAGCAACUCGUGACCGCCUACGCACGUUUCCCCGACUAGACAAGUCAAUUGGUGAAAAUUGGUGAAAUUGGCAGCUAGCUUAUUUAUCCCUUUAUCCAUUCGCACCCACCCCACCCCGGCCACCCUCCGCGCUGCGCAUGCAUGCAUGUCCUCGUGGGCUCUCGAGGACUUGAAGUACGUACGUCGCAUGCAUGCAGAUAAGACGGAGCUAGAGAGAAAGCCUCUUCUUUUCGCUCGUGGCCCGGCAUGUGCAUGCCAAUGGCAAUGCCAGCGUCCCAGUCAGCUACUCUCUCCGUUCCAAAUUCUUGCCUCAAAUUUAUCCAAAAAUAAAUAUAUUUAUUUUUUAAAAACGUUUAUAUACAUGUAAUAGUCCGACAAAAAUUAUGAAACGGAAGGAAUACUGACCAUAGCUAUGGUCAGUACAACUCCUAGUGACAAGUGCAAGCAGGGGAAGUUCAUACUCUAUGUGGGAGGUGCAAUGCAUCUCUCGCUCUAAAGACGUGGUACUCCUAGACUACAGGACUACCACGUACUGGAUUCAUCGAGAUGUGAUGGAACGGUGUACCAGGGUGCGUGGCAUGCAUGUAGACGCCGGGCCGAUCGAUGUAUGUCGAGAGCGGGAUAUGGACAACGAAAAAGGGUGUGGGCAGGGUAGGUGUUCGAUCAAAAUCCACGGACAGUUCCAAACUGAGGAGACCAUGGGGAAACUACUGGACAUCGGGGGUAUAGUGUUCACGUGACGUCAGAACUGGGGAGAGCUACACAACCUCAAGUCGUCGUCUUCUGGUAAGCAAGAGGACCCUUGUUUGGGAGCGCAAUGCAAGUGCAGAUGUUGUGCAGGCGCAGCAGAGACGUGACCCUUGCAGAAGAAAACGCGAAGAGCCGGGUAUAGUGGAUAUGUGGAUGCGUGAAUUAUCGUGGGCCGGGCCGCUUCAAAGCCUGGUAACGCGUGUCGUCGUGGCCUGGCCCAGAUUAUGCUGCUCAUCCGUCCAGCUCGCAAUACAUGAAGAGAAGUUCAAAAACCCGCUGUCCACUUUUGCAUUUAUCCAACGUUUCCUUGAUGAUUUGUCUCUCAUUCGUGAUGUUGUCCAUGCUGUGACACCGGAGCCUCCUCCUGGUGGUGGUCGCCUUGUCCCGCCCACCAACCGCUGGUCUCCUCCGUCGGCUGGUAUGUGUAAAAUUAAUGCGGAUGCUGGAGUUGCAAGGUCAGGUGCAGGUGGUUCUUGUGCUGCGGUCUGUCGCGAUGAAUGUGGAAGAUUCAUGAGAGCCUCUUCGAUUACAAUCGAGGGCAUGACCGACCCUACAAUACUUGAAGCAUUGGCAUGUAAUGAAGGCUUGUCUCUGGCCUUGGACCUUAACAUCUCAAAAGUUUGUGUUGUUUCGUACUGCUUAACGGUUAUCAAGAGUCUACAACAAGAUGAUCUUUGCUAUUAUAGUGCGAUCAUUAAGGAUAUUGUGGCAAGGAAGGAUCAGUUCCGUGAUGCUGUUUUCAGACGUGAGAAGAGAACUCUUUAUAGAGAUGCUCAUAAUCUAGUUAGAGCGGAGUUACCGCUUUCUGUUGGCCAUCAUAUUUGGCUUUUAAGUACCCCAUGCAUUACUUGUAUUCCUGUUCAAGUUGGUGUUGAAUAAAGCUGGCCUUUCCCCUAAAAAUAAAAUAUCCGUCCAGCAGAACUGAAUCCCCAAUAGCGCGGUUACAAGACAAGAAUGAUUAUGUAAUUAUGUUCCUUGUUAUCGUUUCACUUUGCACCACAGAAAGAGUGCUCUGUUUGGCUCCACCAAGGCAAAAGGAAAGAGAAACAGGAACCGAGGAGUGUCUCAUUGUCAAUUACUAAUUCAGCCAACGAACCCAUAAAACAUGUACCGACGCAAAUGCAAUUCAUCAGAAGUGUUCUUCAAGGAAGAACACAGACAGGGUAUCGGACUACCGGUGACUAUGUUUGGAUAUCUUACAUGCUCAGAAUGCUGCGGGCGAGUUAACUGGGAAAUAAUUGAAGAUGAAGAAAGGACACAGCAAGUUACAUAAGCGGCAACAGAUUUUGCUAGAGUGGCACAGCAGUGGCAGGUGCUGGAACAUGCACCUCAAAUACAAUCAGGAACUCGAACUGUUUAUAGCUUUGGACACUUUCUUCCAUCGCAAAACACUUCGAGUUUGUUCUUAUCAAGCAAAUGGUUUUCGAUUAGGCCCAGAUAUGACAUGGUGUUAUUACAUGCAUAACAGCGCUGGCUUGUCAAGCACCACUGGCAUACAGGCGAGUCCACUCCUUCGCUGCAAAGCAAAAAAAAAAUUGACAUGUUAGGUACAAAAAGCAAUGAAAAGUGGAGCAAAAUGACAUGCUAGUGUAUCAAAGUGCAGUGUUAGCGUGCGGCUUUGUUGGCUGAAUUUUCAGUUACCUGUCUCGACAGCUUCAGCUUCAUUGGAUUUCCAGUGUUUUGCCACGUUUUCUGAGAGCGGAUCAUCUGGAUUCGGAGCGCUCAGCAGUGCCUGAAUGCUGCAGACCAAACAUUGUAAAGAGGCAAAAAAAAAAGAGUAUACAAUAGUGGAUACAAGAAGCAACCCUCUGGAAAUACGAUAAUAUGAUACGAUCAUGAACUAUAAUGAAACUAUUUGGCCAAACAUGCCACGGAAGACAGAAGAGGUUGCUACCUCAAAAGAACAGUACGUAUCUGAAGAGCUGGGCUCCAUUUGUCCUUCAGGAUAUCGAGGCAUAUCCUACCAAGCUGCAGUGCAAGUCAAUCCGAAAUGAGAAACUGUUAUCGAAUGAAGUUCCAUUGAGAAUAUCAGUUCCCUACCUUGUCAAUGUUGGGAUGGUAUAUUUUUGUGAGAAACCUAACCUGCGUCAGGAAUAACCAAAGAGUGAUGUCCAUCAGAAAGAAUCACAACAGAGACAACAUACAGAAAAGUCAAAUAGAAUUGUGUAACUACUUUGGUUAGACGACAGUGUCACACUAAAACUAAAACAACCAUGUUGAUAUCCGUAAGAGUAAAACAGUCCAAGGACAGGAGUUGAGAACAAAAUAUUCAGCUACCUCUUAUUUAACAUGAUGGAAAUUACUACUCCCUCCGAUCCAUAUUAAUUGUCGAAAUAUUACAUGUAUCUAGACAAUUUUUUAGCCAUAGAUACAUCCAUAUUUGGGCAAAUUUGAGACAAUUAAUAUGGAUCGGAGGGAGUAUUAGUCUGAGUCUCAGAUGAUAUAUCACAAUGUCAGUACACUCCAAAUAUAGCAUUGCCAAUUAAGUAAAGUAAAGUACGGAACUGUGCAAAGGAGAUUAGUUAAGUGAACGGAGAGAGAAAUCUAGUAUGGAUACGAAAAGUAUUAACACAAUACUAAACAUGGGCAUUCAGUAUUCCUGAUCACAAAGAUGGUAUGCAAAUCUAUUAAUGGUACAUAUCAACAACAAACAUGGGCGCUGCCCAAAAUAAGAUGUCACAAUAAAUUGCUGGUUUCGGUUAACCACAGGCAUAAUUAAACGUCCAUCCCACUGUCGCACCAUAGCAUGAUAAAAUCAUUGCGAAGAUCGCUCUGCCAGAUUUUGAACUCAAAUUUCAGUUACAACUUACAACUAGGAAAUGAACCAAAUUCCACAUCAAGGAGCCUACCGGGACAAGAAAAUCCAUCACAAUAUGUGUCAAACUAAUAACUUCUUAAACAACCAUCCACUAAUACUUGAUCAAAAAAUUACUUUUGGAGCAGCCAUCGGAUAUUCCUCAGGUAAGAAAAGUUCAAGCUUGAAAACUCCACCUGUCCAACACAUAUUAGAAGAAAUAUCAGGAGGACCAGACACAGACAACUAAACAAAAUAAUGUUUCACCCAAUUAAAAAUGUCAUAAGCAAAUACAGUAUACAAAGAUAAGUAAACCAAGCUUAAAUAAAUAAGAUAACAUAGUGACAAAUGUACUGUCUAACAAUAGGAAAACAGGUCGUUCUGUGUACCAUUUAUCAUAUACAUGCACCGCAUUUCAUUACUCCAUGUUGCAUGGAAACAUGGUAGAUAGUUCCUUGUGCCGUAUAUCAGUAAACUUCAGUAAUCGCAAAGGUUAAGGAAACCCAAGACAUUCAAUUCCCAUAGGUUACUGAUAUAUGGUACAGUUGUAGAUCUAGCAUGUUAAGGAAACUACAAACUUGUGCCCCAUAUCAUAUCUAAACUAAUAGCAGGUAUAACUGUUGAAGUAUAAGGUGAAUUGCCCUCAUUUCUCCAUCAGCUUAGGCUUUUAGGGGCACUGGUUCGGCCCAUAUGCAACUCUCCAUGGUAUCCGAGCCAAGAGGUCCCGAGUUCAAGCUCAAUAUAAUAAAAAGGCACUUUUGAUCCAUGAGGGGGAGUGUUGAAGUACGAAAUGAAUUGCACUCGUUUCCCCAUCAGCUUAGACUUUUGGGUGAACUGGUUCGGCACAAGCAACUCUACAAAAGGCAGUCUUCCUAUGUGGAAUAACUUCUACAAAUAAAAAACCAGGUUCACUAGAGCUUAAGAUAACCGAUGAAAUGGACUUGUCAAGCUAUAUUUUGUGAUGGAUUCAACAAAGCAGAAUCUCAAAGUAUAGAAUCCAAAAGGCACAGAAGAGUACAAUUACCACUGGAACAGCUGGGUACAAGAUGGUCGGAUUGCUGGUCUAGCAAACAUAAGUUUAGAAGUGUAUAGUUCCGGCAGCACUAGAACAACACCUUUAUGUGACCAUCCUGAUAUGAUCAUCCAUCUGUGAUGUUUUACUACAUAUUUGCAGCAUUUUACAAACAAAAAGAGCCAUAGAUACGAAAAUGGGGACGCGGUGACCACAGUUACAGUCCUAAAUUGCCACAGAACUACGCAUUCGUGCUCCAAAGUAUUACAGGGUUAUCGGCAUACGAAACAUUCCAACAGAAAUAAAAUGAAAAGGAGGUUUUACCUUCAUAAGGAGACUGCGCCGGACCAAGGACCAUGACAUUGAAGUAGCGCAUGUUCUCCUCCGACGGCGACGCGCUAAUCCCCGGCGCUGCACGCACCCCCCCAACACACGAAUCAGCACAAACAUCCGAGGCUCGAACGCGGACAACACAACAGGAGCAUCGAAUUCUAGGAAAACGAACCUGGUUCGCUGAGCAGCCGCUGCGUCUCCUGCAGCAGAUCCAAAUUCCGAACAGAUUAGGCACCACGCACAAGGAAUAACCAGACGAUAAGGUUAUCAUAUCGCGUUAGAGUCUCAGAAACGGCUGUAGAUCUGGGGGGGUGAGGGGCGAUCGGAUCGCGGGGUAGGGCGCGCGCACCUUGAUGAUCCGGCGCGGGAGGUUGCUGUUGGCCAUGGAGUCCGGCCGGGGCUGGAGCGAGAGCCUAGAGGGGAGGGGGGGAGGGACCGCCUCGAGCUUCGCGCGGCGACGGAGGAGAAGACAGCGCGAGAGAGGUCAAAGGAGUCGUCGAUCUGUCGGGGAGGGCGAGCCGGGGGAGGAGGCGACGAACGAACAGAAAUGGGUCAGGGUCCGAUACUGUGUACCACGUAUUUAUAAACUCCACGCUACAGCCGCUGCUGCUGAUAUUUUCCUUUUCCUCUUGAGCUGGUGUUUUCGUUUUAUACUCUACCGACCUGUUUGUUUGUCCUUCUAUUUCAGUUUUUUUGCAUCUGGCAAUCUUAAAAGCAUCUUUUCUGUUUACACGUGAAGCUGAGAGGCACCUCCGAACAUGCUAAACACUGUUUACACAUGAAGCUGAGAAGCACCUUCGGACGUGCUAAACAGAAAAAGUGCUUUUGAGAUUGCUAAAAGUACCAAAAACUGAAACAGAAGUCCAAACAAAUAGGCCCAGAGUCUGCUGGAUUGUGAAUUUGAAUACGCACACGGCGAAAUCAAAAUACGAAGUCAUGGCCACUAUGUUUAAAAUAAAAUUCGUGUACUUGGACAAAACAGAAGUUGUUCGGUGAAUAAAAAAACCCUAGAAAUGAUUUUCCGACGUAAUAAACGGUAUAAUAGUACUACUAGUAGUACGAGGGCUGCUGCAGCGGAGAUUAAAAAAAAACGGUGUUCGUUUUAGGUGAGCCAGGGAGAGCAUCUCUCCACGCGAAGGGAGCACACAAUUUAUGCAUGUGCAGAGAGAGAGAGCACGGAGAAGAACAACCUUUGGGUUUGCCUAAUUGCAACGGCCAACUUGUGACUUUGUGUUGUGCGCGCUCGUCGUGGAAGGAUCUCAGGCGAAAAGGAAGGUGGGGGAAAGCUCGAUUAUUCUCCGCAGCUUCAAUCCCACGCUAAGCCGCCUGGUCGAAAAGGUUUGGCUGGCCAAACCGGUUUUGCAUGGUACUCCGUAACAUGUUUUUCAAGUUUUUUAGAACUUUGGAGGAACUCGAAACAAAUUGAGAGCAUACGCUUUCUAAGAGUUGAAAAGUAUUAUUUUCGAAGCACGGGCAGUCGGGCACGGGCAUCAGAGCAUCUCCGUUGCCAGUCGCUCGAAGCGAAGAGAAAUCACGCACUUCCUCUGCUACCGAAGCGAAGGCAGGAACAAGAACAACAGCGACGAGACACAGCCAGAAAUUCGGCAUAGUAUUUGCUCAGGGCUAGAUUCCACUGUAUUCGCUGUAAUCUGGUAAAGCAUGUCGCAUGUGCCCAGACUACAGGAGGAUUUCAAGACAAGUAUCCAGUCCUGUCUUAUUUACAACAGAUAGCGUGCAAAACUAUGCUCAAGAAUCAAGAUAGAUAAAUAACACUGGAUUUCCCCAGUACUUGCUACUUCACCGAACUACGGAGUACAACUGGUAAAGAAUAGUUUCACAAGUCGGAUCCUGAGAUCACAAUGAAAGAGAAGAUACAACAGGGAGUAUUAAAUCUGCACAUGAUCACAAGGAAAUCCAGAUGCACAUGAAUCCAGACAAUAGGAAGAACAGGGAACAGUUUGACAUAUUUUUUCUAAUAAAACAGAAGGUCAGAGUUGCAUGCCUACAUUGUCAACAAAAUAAUAGAUGAAUUGCACGAACAUACCUCAACGACUCAAUGUCAACAUGGAUUUACACUAACAAUUUUUAGUCUUUGACCUUUCAUACUCUUCAGAAUUAAUUAUUACCAGACUAAAAACUACAAUGCACCUAAGAACACGAGCUUUCGCUUCAGAAUAUCCCAAGGAUGGUGGGGGCAGGUGGAGCACGCCAUCAUUGGAGAGCAAGAGCAACGCCAUGUCAUUAACUGAUCAUCUUCAAAUGAUAAUCUGUAGAAGAGACAAUGGACAAGAGUCAAUUGAUCGCUUCACCAAACAGUAACAUUACAAAUUUGCUAUACAGGCUCCAAACAAACUGAUUUUCUAUCAGUCUACGCUUAAACAUAGCAGUUAACAGGGGCAAAGCUUAACACAGGCCCAUCAGCAAUCAUGCAGAGAACAAGGCAAGGCAGAUCAUCCAUGGGAAUCACACAACAAUCCACAAGGAAGCAUGCAUUACAUUCUUUGGAAAGCCAAUCAAGAGAAAUCUGGGUUCAGCGAUCGGAAAGAUUUACAAUGGAUAAGAUAUGUCAAAAUUUCAGUACUGGAAACUUCAGUUACAAAGCAAUUUGAUAAAUCUUACAUGCCAAGACAAGUAUAGAAGAUAUAUCUUUAUAUAAUAAUACUGACUCGUAAUUGUUAGGCUUACAGCAAAAAAAAGGUUAAGUUUCAUUAAACAAGCUUAUUUAUCGGUCUCUGAGGAGCUGGGUUACCUGUAGAUAAAUGGGACCAGAAACUAAGAGGUUACCUGUUGACUCAAGCUUAUGCUUAUUUUGGCGAUACACGUACUCUUAGGCUGGACAUAAUUCACCCUAACGAUUCUCACUAAGACAUGAGAAAGGAAUUCUAGUACGGAAAGGAAGUGAAAACCAGCGCAUGUGCAUCCAAGUGACUCCUAGUGAAACAGCACAGAGAGUGUCCCAGAUCGAUUUUAACUCUGAGUCACCAAGUGGUUCGUCGGUAUCAAUUUGAUCCUAACAGAUUCCAGGCAAUACCAUCAUAUGUCACCCAGUCAUGAUUUCCAGGAAAAGAAUAUAAGUAUUUUCAUCAUACAGACAGAAUUGAAGAAAAACUAUUAUUAGACCAUACAUUAUGGUCUUUCAUUUGUCAUGACAAAAAUGUACUCCCUCCGAUCCAUAAAAGGUGACGCCCAUUUUGUACUAAGUUAGCACAAAUUUUGUACUAGGUGGGCGACACAUUUUAUGGAUCGGAGGGAGUAAUAAGAAACACUAAAAGCUCAAGAUAGAAACUAUGAUUAGUUAGUUCAAUCUUUUAAUAACACCUAUGACAUAACAGAGCUGCACAAUUAUAAUUCUGUAAAUUUUAUCACACCCAAAAACCCAGAGAACCAAACGAUAAGAUACAUAAGUACUUAAAUCUACAAUCAUAACGAGAUGGUCAACAUAUCUCAUCAAUGCACAAAAUUAAAUAGAAAAACACACGACGAAAACAUCCACCAAACAUUAUCUACUGAAGACACAAAAUAUAAAUAGAAUCUCACAAAGCCUACACCAGGAUAGAUCUUAUAUGUGAAUAUCAAUGCUCAACAGGACCGAAAGCCUUAUUUAUGAAGGUUAUCGCACAUUUGGGCUAAGGCCAUUGUAACAUAAAAUAGUCCAAAAUGCACAACAUAUGGGGUGGUCGGACUUCGGCAACGAAACUUCAGACAUACUCGCUAGAUUUUCCGAAGCAACAGUAUCUAAACUUUUUUGUUGCUAAUCCUCCGCAGCAACUCGAGCCAAUUGUUUACCAAGAUCCUUAUCGAGAUUAGCUAGAUUAUUAAACCUUGACUGUAGAUAAACGGACAUGUAUGUAACAUAUUGCUCAGAACAAUCAAGUCGGGCUCACCCAAGCUUGUUUACACCCAUAUGAAGGAAAGGCUUAUUGAAUUGCAUUGUCAGGAAAUCAGCACUUCCCCAAACAAACUGAAAGUACCUUUAUUCCACAACCUAUAAACAUCAAUGGAUAUACUCAGAACACAACAGCUUACAUGUGUGGACCUUCCCACCAUUAAGGCCAAACAUAGUAACAAUAAGUUCCACUUAUUAAAAUGUCAUUGUAUACAAGAAUGUCAGAUUAAAUUAUGCCUCUACACAAGCAUACCAAUCCUGUCACUAUCACUGAAAGUCUGAAACAUUAACUAACAGCCAACAUCAUGCCACAUAACUUGUAAUUUUAGCACAUCAACAUUAGCAUUACAGAAACAAUAGUAGCCACAGAUCACAUAAACGAACAAAAACAAUCUACAGCAAUGUUCUAAACUGAAAUGCUAAAACAUACUUUACCUAAAACCCUCGUCCGCAUCAGAGGUAAUUGGAGUUGGAAAGGAAAGGCAGCGCAGCAACGGAUGAAAUCAGCUCCACUCCACCAGCACCAUUGGAUGCAGCCCCUCCGCUCUUCUUCGUGCGCUUCACCCUUGCGAGCUUCACGUGCGCAUCGACGAAGUUCUCCAUGCGCUUCACCUCCAGCUGCUUCAGGAAGUCAAUUCGCUCGCGUUCCAUCUCUAGCGAAUGCUUUUGUUUCGCACUCUCCACGCGCUCAUACAUCUCUGCAAAAGCCUCAAUUGCCCUCGCCAGCUCGCUGACACCACUAUCCCCAUCACCGCCAGCCUCGCGACGAAAGGGACGCUUGUUGCUACCGCCGGAGCGCGCCGACGAGACAGAACGCGACGGUGACCUCCGCAAGUUGUCAUGGUGGUUGUUGUUGUUGUUACCACCAGGAUGAUCACCAGAGUCCUCCGAAUCAGACACCGCUGCAGCGGCGGCAGCGGCUUCCUGCUGGAUGAACGCAGCGGCAGGGAGCAGCGCCCCGCGGCGGUAGCUGGGGAGGGGCAGAGCCAUGGGCGGGGGCGGGGACGGCGAGGAAGAAGGCGACGGGUACUUCCUCGCGGCGGUAGAAGAAGGAUGGACGGGCAGGGCGAGGUGCGGGGCCAUCGCCGGCGAGGGCCGCUUGUUGGCGGCGGAGUUGAGGGUGGGGCCGACGAGUCGGUCGAGCUCGUCGAAGAAGCUCCAGCCCGACGGCGCGCCGCGGACGCGCUCGGCCUUGUACUUCUUCUUGAGGGUGUCGACGCGGUUCUUGCACUGCACGUCGGUGCGCGGCGGGCGGCGGCGCGCGGCGGCCCCGCGGCGCGAGUUGACGGCGUUGGCCACCUCCUGCCACUGCUUCUGGCGCAGGUUGCCGCGGUUGAGCUCCACGUAGCGGCUGCCCCACGCGUCCACCAGCGCCGCCGUCUCGCCCUCGCUCCAGCAGUCCUCCCGGUAGGGCAGGUUAGGGUUGGGCGGCGGCAGCCUCCCAAACCCUCCCCCUCCUCCUCCUCCCCCUCCUCCCGCCGCCGCCGCAGCAGCAGCCGCAGCCAUCUCCCUCACCUCCAUCGGAACCAGAUCUCGCAGGAGCAAACCCUAACCCUAGCUAGCCCGCCCGCCGAGAGAAGAGGACCGAGCGAGCCUCGGGGAAGUCGCGCGUGACGGUGGGCUAUGUGAGCGGUGGGGGGUUCGGGGUUGGAAUAAAAGGACACGGCGAGGGAAGGGGGGAGGUGGGGUCGCCGGCCGCGAGGGGUCCGGGUUCCGUCCGUCACGCACGCGGCACGUGACGCGUGACCGGCGAGGGGGGGGCGGCAUCGGCAUGGCAUAUCUCGCUCGCUCUCGUGUGUCGUGGGUGACCGGAUUCGGAUCGGAGACGUGCCGCCGUUGGAUUGCGUUUGACCGGGUAACCGGCGAUUACUUUCGGGUUUCGGAGGGCGGGUGGGAUAAUGACAGCCAGCCAGGCACAGGCAAAGCAGAGCGCGGCGACAGGCGACAGCCGGAGACCGGACGGAAUACGGUGGCUGGCGCGGGGGUGGGAAAUUACCGCGUUGCCCCUACCCCGGGGAGCAGGCCGGGGCGGCACGCGGCAGGGGCAAGGCGGGGAUUUCGCGUGGGGCGGCGCGGUGUCAGGGGGUGAGCUGGUCGCCGUUGGUCGGUUUGCGUUUCGGGGCCGCCGAAAGAGGGGAGAGGAGAGAGAGAGAAACGCGCCGAGGAUGAUGGGGAAGGGAGAGGAGACUCGCGAACCGAAGACACCGCUGCUCCUCGCUCUGUACUCCAGUCUAGGCUUCUAGCUAGACUCGGCGCGGUGGAGUGGGUGGGUGAAGAGACUGAGGCGCGGGGCCCGCGUGCAAGCAGGCAGGGCGGGCAAUUAUUGUCGCCUCUGGUGCCGUCGCUCGGUACAGAGGACGGACGGACGGACGGCGUGGGCAAAAUUUAAUCGGCGUGCAGCAGGUGCCGGCUGCCGCCUGCAGGCGCCGGUCCUUCGGAUUGAUCGGUGGAUGGAUGCACUCGCCAAUGGCAAUUCAUCCAUCAAACAUCAUUCGUUACUGUAUAUUUUGUGGCAAAUCAAGAUUAGAGGUUCAUCAUCCGUUUACCGUUUUGGUUUGUCCCCUGGCGUCAUCAUCACCGUCUGGGCUUUGGAACUGACAAUAUGGUUCUUUCGGUGAAAUUCAGGUGAAAGUAAAACUCCACCGGUAGAUAGCAGCGGCCAUGGUGCCGUCGUGGGAACAGAGCAGUACGUACGUUACGGGCUCGCGUCAAAUCCUCGACGGAACCGUGCCCGCUGCACCGGUGGGUGAACAGAACACCAUAAAUCCCUCGCGGCCGUGGAGAGAAGUCAGGGGAACCGCGUGUACGUACGUGGUCCUCUCCUGCUAGCUAUAGCUAGGCUGCCCCGUGCGACCGGCGGCGAGGAAACGGCACGCUCGGGAGCCGUCAACAUUGAAUCGGAGGGCCGGGCGGCCGCGAUAGCGUAGCGACCAGCGAGAUACUCAGUCAGUACGGGCUACUUCGGGCUGUCACGCACGCACCGAGCCGGACGGCCGGGCCGACGCGUCGGGCUUGGGAACCACCGGCGCCGCAGGGGCGGGCUCGGACCGCGUCCAACGCCGCAGGCUUUGCAAAGCUUGCGUUGCGUGUACCCCACGCUACCACGCGGGUCCCCUCCACCAAUCAAUUCCAGGCCGGACGGACGGCCGGUACCGUGUACCGACGCGUCGCCCGCCGGAUCUCCGUGGCGUUUUCCUUUGCCUUUAGUUGUGUACCCGCCCCGCUUCACGCCGGCCUUGUGCGGCAGUUGUGUACACACACGCACGCACUUGUACUACUACUGGUGGCCUUGGACUUUGCUGGUUGCUGGUGCGCACCCAGCUUUUUGCGAACGGUUCCGGGAAACGCCGGCGGAAACUUGUGCGGCGGGUCGGUCGGUUGCCGGGGAAGGAAGGAUUCUUCACACAAGCAACGUGAGAUCUGACCAAGGGGAGCAGCAGCCAGCCAGCACGAGCAGCAGUUCGGCGCUGGAGCUACGCGCGAGCUGGGGCAGGAGCUACACGCCAUGUACGUUGCGUCCCCGGGCCGGUUUGAUUUACGACCGGAAGAGCCGCAGCGUUUCCGGCGCGAUGACCGGACAAAUUAGCCGGCUUGGCCGAUGGCUAUACUAUAUCGGAUUGGACAUAUGGAGUGAUAGUGCUCCCGACAGGUAGGAGACGGACGGACGAGAGCGAGUAAACUGCUGCCUGCGACUCUGCGAGUCCUGCCGUGCACGGCUCCAUGGACGGACCGCACGUCCAUGGCCUGUGUAGCUCCGACCGCACCGGACGCAGGCAAGCGGGACGUGCUGUUCAUCCUGCAGACGGGACUGACCCAAGUUAUUGGAGACGCGUCGGCAUUGAAGCCUUUUCCAUUCUCAGGAGCAUGACGUAAUCACGGGAUCACGCACGGCGUGGGCAAAAGAUUACCAGCCGCGCCGCGCGUGCCUGACUGCCUGUGCAGCUGUGCUAUUUUGAGUGCAGAAUACAGUUCUUCAGAACCGCGCCUGUUUUUUGAGGCUAACUGAACAUGCAGUUCCAUACAAUUUCAAAACUCUACGUAUAAUACGGAAGGGUAAAAGAUACUGAGGCGGUCGAGACCACUGUCGCGACACGCGAAGCCUGAAAUCGUAGCGGAUUUACUUUUUCUUUCUCUCGGGGCAACGUCCAGCAACAGCAAGUGACUGCUUGCCGGUUCAUCUGGCCGGACUGAAGGUGCAGAACUAUCUGCUUCCAUGACCAUGUCAUCUUACUGAACUGAUGUUGAUGUUGAUCGAACGGAAACUUGGUAUUAGUGCAAUUUGCAUUUGGUAGACGGGGGGUGGGAUGAAGAAGCUGCAGCGCAUUGGUCAGGGCAGCAGAUGGAAAACGCUGGAGACGGAGGUCAAAGAAGACGCGCGUAAAGGAACCGGUCAGAACAGUGACUUCCUUACUGGAUUUAGGUGACAGGCUGAAAAUUGUUUAUACUUUGGCACGUUGCCUGGGACACAGCAGUGGACAAGUUCGGUUCGGAGAAUUCUAUCCUCCAGUCAUGUUCCUUCUCGGUGAUUAACUAUCAGCUCAUCUGCCAAUCACAUGUUCUGUGGUGACAGCAGCCAGCAAAAAUAACCGAACGGAUUAGUGAUCGCCUAGAUUAUGUAGCUCAAUUUGCAUGCGUAGUUUCAAACGGUAUAAAACGAUGCCUUCGAAGAAAUGGGAGUAGUAAAAAACAUGUGGACUCGAUUUGGGCCGGGCCGCGAUAUCUUCGGUUCUCCACCCUCUUACGCGCAGCGUUUCUUCUCAGUGUCUGCUCAUCACUUGCGUUAGCUUGUAUUGUUUGCCUUCGCUUAAUAUUAGUGCCAUGUUAUCAUGGCUCCAUCGCCCAGUCGAACGCCGGCUAUCAGUUCAAAUUAUGGAUAGUCUAUUGGCUUUGAAUAAUGCGUGUCCUUGCUCUGAUUCCGUUGAGUGUCAUUCCAAGAGUAGGUAUCUAUCAGAAGAAUUUUCAGCAAAUGUCAGUGCUGCUUGAAGUCAACGAGUACUAAUCACAACAUGUGUGAACAUUUGCCAUCCUCCUGCGGUGCACUCUGACCUGCAUUGGAGAGCUGUAUUGCAGCCUGAAGGUCUUCUUCUCUAUUCUACUUCUACAUAUCUACCCACGUGUAUAUGCAGUAUCCUCCGAUGGUUUAGCCCAUGGGCAAUGCAGUUGUCUGCUUCAAUUCUUGGUGUUUCAGAACUAGUAGUACUACUAGAUAUGAUCAGUAUGCUGGGGACAGGACAGUAUGAAUGUACGAUAGAUAAGGUCCUAGAACAUGGGCCACAGGUUAUGCAGAUCGCAGACACGAGUGUUUGGCUGGAACUGAUCUCCGAAUGCGAGACUCCGAGAAACGUUGAUGCCGCUUUCUGUCGAUCACCUUGAGCCAUUGUCCGUCUGCUGGCCUGGCAGGGAAAGUCUACGGAAUGCCAUCUCGAAAGCCAUGGAAAUUCUGUUUUGCCUGACAGAACUCUGGCGUACAUGAGCAACAGCGACCGGAGCGUGGUUUGCCUGCGUGCUUGACUGUAUGGUCACGACGAACACGAGGUGGCGACCAUCCGCCGCGUUAUCCAGGACUGCACCCGUCAGAGAAGGAUCCUUCACUUUUUGGGAAUCCAAUCACUUCGGGAUCCAUCAGAGCAGAAGACACGGCCAUUUCGCCGGCGGCUUUCCCCAUACAGUGCACAUCUCGUGAACUUCCGUCCAUAUUUUCUGGCCAAAUUUGCAAAGGAUUUGUGCUUUUCAGAGUGCAGCAAACGUAGCAAUACCAGGAAACUACGGAGUAGAAUAGGAAGGAACGUACGCCUGUUUGUUCGGGCGGCAAAGUCAGAGCGACACUCUCUCUACUUUGUUUGUUCGUCAGGCCAGGACGCCCGCCAAACCCGACAUGGAUAACUCCAUUAUUGACGAUGGAAAGUAGAAAUCUGACCCCGGGGGCACUAGCAGACGACACUAUCCACAUUGUCUUCACACACCGAGAAUAUGACAAAAUAACAUGCAUUCUUAAUUCACCUAUCGUCCCCAGUACACACCAUCAGAAAACAUCUUCGAUCUUCUAAGGCGUGGAUGCAUUAGGGGUGCGUAUAAAAAUAAUCAUACUCCUUCCGAUACAUAAAAAGUUUCCCACAUUUAGUACAAAAUAUGUACUCCCUCCGUCGAACAAAGGAUGUUUCAACUUUGAUUAAAUUUGAAUGCAUCUAUACACUAAGUCAUGUCUAGAUACAUUUAAAUUUUGACAAACUUGAGACAUCUUUUGUUGGACGGAGGGAGUACUAAUUUUAGUACAAAAUGUGUGACACUUUUUAUGAAUGGGGGGAGUAUCUCCUAGACUCUUUUGAUUCAAAUGAGUUAAUCCUUCAGAAUUUUUUCUAUGUAGGCUUAUUUCAUUCGUAGGAUUAGAUUUUAGUGGAAAUUUGCCUAUGGUUCACUUUGCACUGCAGUGAUGCAAACCAGAUUCCGCGAAAACCCACUUCUAGUUCAUUUUUCAAAUCUUCAAUUCAAAUUUUGAGCAAAAAUUUGGAUAAAAGACUUGAGAAUUGAACUAAAAGUUGACCAUCAAUGGGAUCCCGUUUGCAUCUCUACUGCUCUCAAUUCCAAAGUAAAUUUUCCAUCUAAAUCUAAUCACUUGAAAAAAUUCCUUUGUUUCCAUGAUAACUAUACCAAUGCACGUAAUGUUUUUCUCUGUUUUUCCUCUAAUGCUAGAUUGAGUCUGUUUUUCCUUUAAUGUUUUUCCAACUCGAUUAGUUUAUUCAGGUGGUUUCUUCCUGUAGAAAACAACAUAUCAUGACAUUUCAAUCUUGUGUUUGCUAUUUCAGGGCUCAUUCACUCUACAUGCGUUUUAGAUGAUUUUUCUACAAGAUUUCAACUCUUACACCUUGUUUGGCACAUGUGGGUUUCUUACGUUUUCUAUUUCUACUCUACAAUCUUAAAAUCAUGUUCUCCUUCUGACCUUUGUUCUCAAAUUUAUCUAAAUACGGAUGUAUCUAUGUUUAAAAAAUGUCUAUAUAUAUUUAUAAUAUUUCAGUAACUAAUAUGAAUCGGAGCAACUAACUCGAACGAGCCCUCGGUGUUUGAAUAUUUAAAUACUCCUGAAUGCAAGUAUAGUUCUGCACUCCUACUGCAGCUUGCUACCACGAAACUAAACAUUUCUCUUUCUGCAGCCCCCGACUCGAUCUAGCCGCAGUCCAUGUCGUUCUUUUCGCCCUGGCGUGUGCAAGAGUCGAACCCAUAGUGUGAACAAUUGAGUUAGGCACGAGCCGGAGAGGAGGAGAAAGGACAAAUUAUUGCUCAGAUUAAUCAUCACCUCGAUCGUUGCGGCGCAAUACCGUUAUAUAACGACGGAAUACGGGCCCACACGUCAGUGUAAAGCGAGCUGCUUGCCGCUUUCUCCCUCUUGCGUGACGCCGUCGCCGUCCAGAGCCAUCUGGCCACCGGGCUCCCAGCCCCCCACAGAUGUGCCCCCUGCAUGCGCGCCAUGUAUCAGCCUCUGAUACGUCAGGCCAGGAACCAUCCUCAGCCGUCAGUUCGUCCAUCUCGACGGCUGCGAUCGCGCUGCCGCCACUUAUAAAUAGCACCGAUGCACGCGCGAGAAAGUCCGUUUUACCUUGCUGGGGGGGGGGGGUUUUACUUACAUGAGCGCGGGAAUGGAGGCGGAGCUGGAGGCGGCUCAGCGGCGCUUCCGGCUCUGGUUCCGCGGGCUGCGUUCCCUGCGGCGGGACCUCCGGUCGGCCCGCUGGGCCGGCGACGACCCGGCCCAGCUGGGGAAGCUGGCGGGCGGCUUCGUGGCCCACUUCUCCGACUACUGCGCCGCGCGGGCCGAGCUGGACCCGGUCCUGCUGCUGUCGGCGCCCUGGGCGAGCCCCGCGGAGCGUGGCGCCGCCUACUGGCUGGCCGGGUGGCGGCCGACCACGGUGGUCCACCUGCUGUACACCGAGUCCAGCCGCCGGUUCGAGGCGCAGCUCCCUGACCUGCUCCUGGGCGUGCGGUCGGGCAACCUGGGCGACCUCAGCCCGGCCCAGCUGGCCCAGAUCGACGAGCUCCAGCGCCGCGCCGUCGCCGAGGAAGACGCGCUCUCAAGGGAGAUGGCGCGGCUGCAGGAGGGCCACGGCGUCGUUGGCGGAGACGGGGAUCUGGACGUGGAGGGGAUCGUGAGGCGCGCCGGGGCCGUGGUGGCAGGGGCCGACGCGCUGCGGCUGCGCACCUUGAAGCGCGCCGUGGAGAUCCUCGAGCCGGCGCAGGCCGCCGAGCUGCUCGUCGCCAUGGCCGACAUGGAGAUCGGCUUCCGGGAGUUCGGGCUAAAGCACGGCGACGGCGGUGGCGAGCCGAGCCGCGGCGCGUAGGCAUAGGCGUGGCGCGGUCCAGAGAGCAGAUCCUCAUCCGCAUCGGCGGCUCGGCCCAGUUUUUUUCUUCCAAGUGUUUGCGCUGGUUUGACUGGGACAGAAAGACUGCUCACUGUUGUAAUCUUGUUGCCGUGACGAUUGUCUUUGCCGAACUGUCUCGCGGUGGGUGCUGCGUCGUAGCUGGACCGUGUGCGUGUGCGUGUGCGUGCGCGUGCGCCUGCUGGGAUGUCGUGUGAGAAAGCAAUAAAAUGCAAGGAAUGCAUGCUUGGUUUCGUUGAGAAGUCAUAUUUUGUUUUCGAGCAAGCGGUUUUUUUAACAUCUUUUCCGAUAAAUUGGCUGUUUGUCUGUUCACUACAGAAGACCCGUCCUUUUAAAAACGGUUUUGCUAUUAAUAAAUCCAUGUUUUAGUUAGAGUAGUCAUAGGAUUUUAAUCCAAUGAUAGCAAGUGAGAGAUGAGAGAACGAGGAUGACUCUCAGAUCUCCAGCAGUUAUGAAACGUCGACUGAUAUUUAAGGUUCAUUUUUUAAAAACUUGCGACUUAGAAAUAGCCAUACCCAUUUAAAAAACGUGUUAAAUCUUAUUAAAAUAAGAUUCUGAUCGAUAACUUAUUUUUAAUAGGUAUUGCUACGGAAAAGUUGUUUUUCUAGUUAAAGAUAAGUUGAAACACCAACUGUCAUAUCUUGAUCCAACGGCGGCACAUUGAAGAUGGGGUGUAGCUGCUAGCUUCGGCAUUGAAGAUGGCGUCAUGGUAGGGAGAAGCUAUCAAGUUAUCCGAGAUAGAGGAGGCACUGAUGGAACACAUCCGCUUGCUAGGCUUGUAAUCGGACAAAUAAUUCAAACAGCUUUGCUAUUCAUAAGACAAUUGAGAAAUAAUUAUUUUCAAGCCGACGCUAACAAUCGUUUAAUCCAAUCUCUGAUAUGUGUGAGAUCUAUACAAGUGUUGUUGACUGAAAAUAACUGCUUCCUCCGCGCCUGGAUACUCGUCGUGGUCCGGAAAUCCAACCAGUUGUUCGUUCGAGCCAGAUCCAAACGACACCGGACAGACAACCACGGGCGGUUCUACCGUGCCGCACGGUCACGCGCCCAAUUAACCGGCCACACGGCCAAGCGAAUCCAGGAUUAAAAAUAGGAAUCGCGUACAAUUACCGGCCACCCAGCCAGGCAGCCCGCAACGAUAAACCAGCAGUCUCCCGCUCCAUGUUUGGGAGCCAUGCCCAACUACAAACCCAACGUUUCCAAGCUGGCCGCCGCGCCCCGCGACAUCCACACGGCAGAUUAACCCUUCUUCUCCUUUCCUUCCUUCCUCCCUCUCCGCGCGCGCGCGACCUCCCGCAGACCCGCCUCCGCGAAUCUAGCCACCCCCGCGCGUGCGCCACGCACCGUCCGUCCGUCGGACCUCGGCCGGGCCGGCCCGCGGUCGUCGGCGCGCGGAGGGCGUUCGUGAGAAUGCGUGCGGCGGCGAUUGGUUGCUAGCUAGCUAGCGGCAUGCCUGGCAUGAGCGCGUGAUGGCGCCGCCGUUCCUGAAGACCGGGCACGGCCGCGACAGGUUCUCCUUCAGGCGGCGGAAAUCGUCCUCCUCCUCGUCCUCCUCGUCGACGCCGUCUUCUCCGCUCUCGGUGUCGUCCACAGCGUCGGAGGACAUCGCCGACCCGGGCAGCCCCAUGGAGUCGUCAGCGACGACGGGCAAGACGCUGCCCUGCGCCCGGCGGGCGCUCUCGCGGAGCAGCUGCGGGUCCAGGGGCAAGCUGUCCGUCGACCUGAUCCCGCCGCCGCUCGCCGGCGGCCCGUCCGACGCGCCCAGGUCCUCCACCUCCGCCGCGCCGCCCCCCAAGCCUCCCCCCCGCAACGAGGGCCCGCCUUCAGGUCUCACCAUUGUUAAUUUUCUAGUGUCUGUCUGACUUUCUGUCGUCAAAUGCAGAGAAAUGCCUUGUUAUGUUUUCGUGAUCGAUUGCAUGUAUCCAGAUGCUGACAUCGUGAGGGACAAGUUCUCCAAGCUGCUGCUGGGGGAGGACAUGUCCGGCACCGGCAAAGGGGUGUCCUCUGCCCUCGCUCUCUCCAACGCCAUCACCAAUCUUGCAGGUAAUCUCUCCCUUACCUUCCAUUUCCGAUCUUUCCAUUUCCAAUAACAGUCCCUGUCUUUCAAAUCUUCCCAUUCUGUCCGUUGGGUUCUGAUGGAUACUGACACGAUCAGCUAUGAUUUCUUUCUCAUGACGUGGCACAUUGCAGCUUCCGUGUUCGGUGAGCAGCGGCGUCUCCAGCCGAUGGCCGCAGAGCCGAAGGCCCGAUGGACAAAAGAAAUUGACUGGCUUCUGUCCGUUGCCGACCACAUCGUCGAAUUCGUUCCUUCACGUCAGGUGUCCGAGGAUGGCUCCACCAUGGAGGUCAGAAACAAGAGGAUCCUUGCUUAUCACAAGUACCUGGAUGUAGUUCUGUAUCACGGAACAUCUUUAUGCAAAUCCAAUUACAGCGGUGCUAUUUUUCUCUCUCUCCCCCCAAACAGAUAAUGAUGACUCAGCAGCGUAAGGAUCUGCAGAUGAACAUCCCCGCACUGCGCAAGCUCGACGGGAUGCUCCUUGUAAAGCUCUGCCACAUUCUUCUUUGAAAUCAUUUACGAGAAUGACAUGCGUGGAGAUACCUGAUGAAUUGCUAAUAUGCUAUGGCUGCACAUUUCCUGUUGUGGGGGCACAGAGCUAUCUUGACAGCUUCAGGGACAAGCAGGAGUUUUGGUACGUGUCGAAAGACGCAGAUGACUCGGAGAAGGGAGACGCGCCGAAGCAGGAUGACAAGUGGUGGCUCCCGACUGUCAGGGUCCCUCCUAAUGGUCUGUCGGACUCGUCGAGGAGGUGGCUUCUACACCAGAGGGAGCUCGUCGGCCAAGUCCAUAAGGCAACAAUGGCCAUCAAUGCUAAUGUUCUUAUGGAGAUGGAUGUUCCAGAAGCCUAUAUGGAGUCUCUGCCUAAGGUGACCCAUAUGAACACAGCAACAUUGCAUAACAUUUUUCUUUACUUCGGUUCACUGCAUUUAGAGGGAUCGAGACUCACUUUGACAGCAUCUUCUUUUUUUAUGCUUGAUAGAAUGGAAAGUCUAGCCUUGGAGACUCAAUGUACAAGCUUAUAACUGACGAAUAUUUUGACCCAGAAGAACUCAUAGCAUCAGUAGACUUGUCAGCCGAGUACAGCAUCGUUGAUCUGAAGAACCGAAUCGAAGCCUCGAUUGUCAUUUGGCAGAAGAAAAUGACGCAGAAGGAUGCCAAGAUGUGGGGGCAUGGUGUCAGUCAUGAGAAGCGGGGACGGUUUGAGGGGAGGGCGGAGAAUGUUCUUCUCCUCCUUAAGCACAGAUUCCCCGGAAUUUCUCAGUCAGCUCUGGACAUAAGCAAAAUCCAGUACAACAGGGUACUGGCAACCAUCUUCAAUUUUCCACUGUAUUUUCGGAUUUCCUACAGUACUUUAUUACUCAUGCUCAUUGCAUACAUUUUCUCGUUGUGAUUUUUUUGCAGGAUGUUGGCAGUGCCAUUUUGGAGAGCUACUCCAGGACUCUUGAGAGUCUAGCAUACACGGUUAUGUCUCGCAUCGAAGACGUUCUUCGCGCCGACUCCCUUGCUCAAGACCCCAAGAACGCGGAGGCGACGAGAAUGCCGAGCUUAUCAUCAGAUGACACAGACACGGUCGUCCAAGAUGCCAAGGACGAGGUGGAGAGGCUGGGAAGAAUGGAGCCUCUGAACUCGACACUAUUCGACUACGUGGGCCCACGGGACGGAGAUAUCGGGCCCAUGAUGUCGGAUUCACAGGAACCUCGGGGUGCAAAGCUGUCAAAGGUUUCGUCGAUCGCAACCAAGAGGUUCUCCUACCUAGAUAAGCUUGAGAAUUUGGGUGGAACAAGGAGCCCCAUAUCUAGACACUAGUCGCUGCCGUAGGGGAAAAGACGAUCAAUAUGGUGUUGAUGUUGCUGCAGAGACUCCGGGGAAAACUGCACGUAAAUAGCUCCGCAAAAACUGAGGGUGCAGCAUGCAUUGUGAGGUUUAUGUAAGCUUUCAAGCUUUCAGGCACCAAUACCUCCAAUUUGGUGCAGUUGCCAAGACAAUGUGAUGACGAUUCUCCUGCUAAAUUUACAUGAAAUAACCACAAGAUUCUGACACUGGACCUGAAAAUGGACCUCCAGAUUUUCUUACUGUACUUCUGUAGCAAAGUUUUGUGGUUCCAGUAAAGUGUUUGUUAUCUUAGACUUGACUUGCAGACCAUGCUUGGGUUCGGCUAGUGUUCUCCCCACGUACAAUUUAAGAGGGUAAUAACAUAUCACUGAACUUGGAGAUCGAUCUGUGUUAGCUUCUGGCGUUCUAGAUCGGCACUGUAAUAAGUAACUGUAACUGUACCAUGGCUCUAUGCAUUGGGAAAUUAAAACCACUCGUAUGAGUAAAUCAAUUUACAGGAACAAAUGAGCAGUAAAAAGCAUCCUUCCGGUUGCUGAUAGUACGUGCAGCUAGGCACGCCAUAUGAGUACAUACAACGAAGGACUUAACGUCCAGAUACGCAGAUCCAUGGUACACAAGCACAGGCAUAUGCAGGAACAGAUUCAGAGAGAGAGAGAGAGAGAAAGAAACUGAAACCAAAGCUUUAAUCAAAUCAGAUCAGAUCUUGCCGCGUGGGCCGGGGGUGGGGGGAAGCUGCGGCCCCUUCUUGAUGGGCAGCAGGUCCGGCGACGUGGUGGCGCCGAGGUAGGCGAUCAGGGACCCGCCGCCGAGGAGCAGGAACUUGAGCAGCAGGCCGCGCUUGGUGAAUGGCGCCGCGAAGGUCUGGAAGAACUUGCUCUGCAGCCCGUUGUAAGGGGACGGCGCGUCGGACCCGUACAGGUCCCACUGCCCCGUCGUGUUGCCGAUGUCGUCCAGGUCGAAGUACACGCUCUUCUCCCCGUACUUCGCCUGCACCGCGACGCCUCGUGCAGGCCUGCAGGCGUACGCGCACGCGUAUAUAUACGGUUAUUUAUACGUAUGUACAUACGCUCGAUCGAUGACAUAUUAGCUCGCUUCACGUGCGUACCUGCGGGUGGAGCGGCAGAGGGAGGACGGCCGGGCGGUGGCGGCGAGCUUGCGGCCGGACAUGGAACUGCCGGCCAGGCCCUUCACGGCGGCCGACGGCUGGACGGCGACGAGCGACACCAUUGUUGUAACAGUGGGAUGUGUUCUGAGCUUCUUUUUCUUUUUUUUUUUGCUGCGGGUUACGUGCGCGAACUUGAUCCAGUGCUGGGGAUAUUUGGAAGGUGUGCUGCUGCGGGGCUGAUCAGGUUUGGGUGGGAGAGGCUUGGCGGGGAUGGGCGAGGCCCCCAUUGGGAGCGCGCCACGCGGCAGGGUUCCGGAUAGGCUUAUCCUGAUCGCUUGAUUCUUGGGAGGGAUGACAUGGCGCGGCCAACGUGGCACCGGAGCUUGCGUGGGGUUGUCCAGCUGGGAACGGGCGUCGGAAAAGAUCUCACCAGAUGUCCCCGACGGCAUCGAUCGAUCGAUCACGGUCUCACUGAGAUAUGGUGGGCCGGUGGGCCCAGAAGCCCUCUAGCUAGGUGCUAGGACAGUGCACGUAACGUACUCCGUAUUGAUCAUUGAAGGAAAGUAAAGAGAGAUAGGUAGAGAAGGACGUCCACGUACUCCGUUGCAUUUUGCAAAUGUUGCACGUACGUACGUAUCAGCACCAGGAUACAUAUGCAACGUGGGCAGGCAGAGUACGUAUAUUGUAGUGUAACGUAUUGCUAGUCGAUCUUAAGCACCUUCCGCUUGGCCGGGGAUACUAAUUAACCGGUAAAUACGGCGGAAGGGAUGUGUACAGGCGCGAUAUAUACAGUGGAUCCAGAUCUGAGAUCGAUCUAGCUGAGCCUUGCGUACGUGCUAUAUACACAUCCUCAUCCGCGAUGGGCAAGCGCAUGCAUGCAGGGUACGCUUCUACGACAAUGGAGCAGCAAAGGAAUUGACGCUACGCUACGUACAGCGAAUCGAUCAUGCACGGAUUUGCGAAUCGAUAUCUUCACGAUGCAUGGCCACAGGCAGGAUGGCGCACAAGUGUGCUGGGAGCGAGAAGACGCGACUAAAAAAAUAUGUGAAUGCGAUGAGCCGGGCCAGGCUGCCAGCUUUAAGCCCAGAUCCAGAGCGACAAGCAAGCCGUUGUUGCACGCCCAACACUACCAACAUGGACCCGCUUUUUUUCGGCGGGCCUGAAUCCACCGUCUAUACUGAUGCCCUCUGGCCCAAACGAGAAAAGAAAUACCAUACAGUACGGCCGUUUGUUUUUUGUGGGUAUACUGUACACAGGUUGGCGCGGCUAACGAAGAUGCGAGGGCACAGGGAGGCGCACCUUCCUCGGUUCAGUUCAGUUCAGUUCAGGCCGAGAUCCACCGAUCCGCGCGCGCACAGCGCACCGGUGAGAAAGCCAGCACCGACGACGCGGCGCCCCCACGCCACCAGCCAGCCACCGGCCAAACGCACUAACCAAAACCUCGCCGUCGUCGUGCGCUCCCGCCGAACCCCACCCUAGUUCUCUCCCUACUACAUCUCCACGGCGGGAGCUUUGCGCAGCUCUCCCCCGCUCCCCGUGCCACACUCGCUCCUGCACCUCCCGCUCCCCGUCUCCCUUCCCGGCCUGGGGCGUCGGUCCCCAAUUCGGGUCGGGGGGCGCCGAGGUCGCGAGGCGGAUCAGGAUCUGAUCCCGCGCGGCCGGAGCGGGAGCGGUGGGUCGGUCGAUUGGGCGGCGCCGGGAUCAGAUCUAUGCGCGAGAUCUAGCCGGGCGUGCGGGCGGCUGCUGGUGAUCGGAGCCGGACCCGGAGGGGAGUGAGGGAUGGCGUGGUGGUCGGGGAAGGUGUCGCUGGGCGGGCUGCAGGACAUCGCCGGCGCCGUGAACAAGAUCAGCGAGAGCGUGAAGAACAUCGAGAAGAACUUCGACAGCGCGCUCGGCCUCGAGGAGAAGCGCGACGACGAGGAAGGUAUGCGCCACUCAUGCUAAAGCCGCCCCCCCCCGACCCGACCCCUUUCCUCCCGUGUAGCCGCCUAGCCGGGCAGCAUUGGUGCAUGCUUGGCUGCGUGCAAGUGUCGAUUGGGAACUGCGAUGGGAUUUUUUUGGUUGAAUACUGCACUGGGUCAUGGGAUUGUCACUGGCGGUAAUGCUGUUUGUAGCGUUGUUCAUGCGAUGAUUGGUUAGUUAGCUAUCGAUAGUGUAUACUGACUGAUGUGAUUGUAGGAAGCAGAAGUUUGAAUUCAGGUCAUCGCUGGUUCCAUUGCUCUCGCAGCUUCUUAUGUAGAUAGAUUAUUGCUUAAGUCUCGGACUCUGUAAAUUGGUCAAGCAAAACCCCAGUCCCUAAGUUUCGUAUUUAUCAGCUGCUGCAUUAUUGAUCAUUGAUUGGUCUAGCCAGAUCAUAAAAACUUAUACAUACUUCUUAGUAGCGUUGGCAUUACAACAGAUUUUGUAUUGCUCUUUCCUUUUGAGAAGUAAUGGAACUUGGAGGCAGUGAAUUCAUGCCUAUUCUCAUAACUUUUUUCCAAUAGUUUUUGUUCUGAGUAGCAUCGCUAGGAUGAGCAUAUUUGGAGAAUAUAUAGCUUCUAAUUGUUCAUUUACAUGGCUAACGUGAGACCCAAAAAAUGUGUUUUUGGGUGAUCCAGGAUCAGGAUCACGUACAUCCAACUCUGAUGGAAUAGGAUUCUUUAAUCCUGUCAUGGCAUUUAUGGGACAAAAUGGUGAGGAGAACUCUACGGAAGUAUCAGAAAAGCAACAAUUGCCAAUACAUUCGUCAGCAGAAGAAGAAAAUCAUAGGGUCACCACCGAGCCAGCUACAUCUGAAGCAGAUGCUUCUGAAGUAUCAGUAACAACCCAAUCUCCAAAGCAGCUUCCAAAAUUAGAAGAGAAUGUCAGCAGCUCCACUGAGCUACCUGUAUCUAAGGUGGAUGUUCCUGACCAAUCUGUAACACCGCAAGCUCCAACACAUCCUUCAGCAUUAGAAGAAAAUAAUGGUGGCUCCACUGAGUCACCUACAUCUAAGGGGGCAACUUCUGAAGUAUCAGAGACACCGCAGUCCCCGAUACAUCCAUCUAUAGCCGAAGAAAAUUCUAGUGGCUCCAUUGAAACUAGUAACUCAGUUGAGAGGGAAAAUCAGGGUCACGAAGGUAAUGAAUAUUCUGAUCCCAAUGACGAAGCUUUACCGAGCCAGCUUGGAGUGUCCGGCAGGGACAUACCUGGUGGUGGAACAUCUUCACCUAAUAAAUUAGAUCAAUCAAGUGUUAUUGGAGCAGAAGAAUCUAUUCAUGAUGGAAAGGAUGACACAAAUGGUAACCAGUCACAGCCAGCAGAUUCCACGGUAGCCAGUUCAGAUGAUGUAAAUGAAGGCAAUAAGAUUGGUCAAGAAUUUGAUGCCCAAAAGGAAAUAAUCAGCCCACAUGAGAGCAAUGUUAUCGAUGACAAAGCCAGUCAUGUGGAAGUCAAGUUACAUGACGACGCUGCUGAGAAUGAAGAAGAAAACAGUCAAACAGAAGCACAUGCAGUAUCUGUUGUUGAAAAUGUGGAUAAUACAGUGUUGCAACUUGAAAACCCUACCUCAAAGUCGAUAACUAUGGAUGAUGAUUCAGACUCGCAAAAUGAGUUAGCACCCGCUUCUGUACAUGUUCCUGUUGGUCUUGUAGAAGUUGGUUCUCAUGCAAAUGAUUUGAGAAAAGAAGAAAAGAUUCAUGACUCUGUAACAACCAUAAAUUCUCGAGAAUCUGUUGGUUCUGUUGUUGAACUAGAGAAACUAAGACGUGAAAUGAAGAUGAUGGAUGCUGCAUUGCAAGGUGCUGCAAGGCAGUCCCAGGUAUCAUUUCCAAAAUCCACAUGCUCUAGCAUCUACUGUAGCAAUUAAGUUAGUAACAUGUUUGGUUGAGGAACUAGACAGUGAGUAUAUCAUCCGAUUCUAGCCCACUUGUUUGGGUUGAGGAAUAGACUCGGUUAGUCCAACACCACUUCAUCCUUCAUAUGCAUGAGAUUGGCACUAAUGGGAAUUGAGUCAUCCCACCAAUUUGAUUGAUCAUCCCAUGUUGAGGCAACUCAUCUUGGAUUGAGGCAAUCCCUCGAACUAAAUACCCCCUUGAUGCAUGUGUGGUUGAACUUGUACAUUAUGAAAGUUACUCCUGGAUGAUUCAACUUGGAAGCAAACCUUUAGUGCAAUCUGUUUGAACCAAUGAGUGCUUGCUAAAUUGUCUGUAUAUGUACCUUUUUAUUCAGUCUGAAUCUAGUUUACCCGUGAUGUGGAUUCAUCUCAUAUUUUCCUUUUUUUGGGGUGUCAUGCUUUACGGAAAAAAACAUAAAAUAUGUACAGUUAUCUAAUAUUUCAAAGUGCUUUGUAGUGUCAGAAAGGAGCAUAUCAUGCAAUUAUCUUUCUUCUUUUCUGAGUAUUAUAUUCUGAUGCACCGAGCCGGUCAUGAGGUAUUAUGUGCUUCAGAUGCGUUCUUAACAAUGAUCGUCAAAACAUUGUAUAAUUUGAAUGGCCUAUGGCCCCAUGUUAGUCAUUUCUUUGCAACAUACAUGACCCUUCACCACCUAUUUAGGUUCUAACAACACUUUAUUUUUCCUACAGUCCAAAGCUGAUGAAAUUGCUAGACUGAUGAAUGAAAAUGAGCAAUUGAAAUCAGCAAUUGAUGAGCUCAAGGUAUGUUUGCUAAGCAGAUUCCUUAUCUUUUGCCUUCUGGACAUAAACAUUUGGGAUGUCUUUCAGUUAAUUAACAAAAAAAGGAUGCCUUCGGUUUAGUAAUCACCACAAUUUUGAGUUGAAUUAUGUGAAAAUAAACAAGAUAAAUACUGAGUUGCUUGGCAGCUCCUUUAGCCUUUGAUGAGUGUUAUAAUAAAUUUUUUUACUGUACAGGGUAAGUCAGCUGAAGAAGAAAUGGAUGCUCUCAAGGAUGAAUAUCACCAAAGAGUAGCAACUCUUGAAAGGAAGGUGAGACACAUUACUUUUGUUACUCAGUGCUACUAUUGACAGUUGAUCAUUGCGUAUUGCAUACGGCAACCUGAUUUAGGACUAAUAAUCAUGGAGAACAGAUAGAUACAAGUGCGCUAAAUGCCGCUAAGACCAGAGGGUUGAUAAACAAUAUACGAUAUUACUCACAUACAAUAUUGUAAUUACUAAUUACAAUCUUCAUGCUUUUUGUGCGGUGGUAGGCCUGGUAAUGGGGCUAAGCCCGCACCGAAUCCAAACCACACCAUAACAUCUCACGUGUAUUUCCCAAUCGCAACCAAACCAGAAGUGAAAUUAGAAAACCCAAACCACACCGCACCGUACGACUUCUCCAUCCAAUCCGCACCAAACCAAUUCAGAAACCGCAGGCUCCGGCACCACGGUCAGGCUUCGAUGGAGAUAGGCGGAGGGAGGCAGAAGCGGGGAGAUUGAAGGGCGACCGGUGGCGGAGGGUGUUGGACCUUGGGGACACUGGCGACGUGCAGAUCGGGAGGAAAAUGAUGUUGGGGAGCAGAUUGGGAGGAAGACGAUGUGGGGGAGCCGGUUACAGUUUACGAAGAAGAGGAGGCAGGGGGCGCCGGCGGCGGAGCGCCGGAUCAGGCAAGGGCGGCUGGCGGUGGAACGCCGGAGCAGGCAGGCGACGACAUCGGGAGGAAAACGAUGUGGGGGAGCCGGUGACAGUUGACAAGGAGGAGGAGACAGGGGGCACCGGCGACGGAGCGCCGGAUUAGGCAAGGGCGUCUGGCGGCGGAACGCCGAAGCUGGCAGGUGGCGGCGAGCGCAACCCCGUCACCAUCACAAGGGGAAGUUGAGGCCGUGCCAUCAUGGUCUUUGUUAUUCCAAGUGGUGUUCAUGGGCUGAAACCAAGGUUGGAGACCACGGUCUGAGCCCAAUUCAGUUCUAGACCGGUCCAAACCAAACCGCACCAGUCCAAACCGCAUUUGUACUAAUACCAAACCAGCCCAGACCGAUUUUCUAUCCCAUCCAUUUGAAACCGCACUGUUUGAACCCGCAUGCAAAACCCGCACCAAAAAAACCGAACGAACCUGCACCAUUACCAGGCCUAUGCAGUGGCUCUAUUUUGUUAUUCUUUUUUUUUGCAUUCUUUGUUUUAAUGGUAAAAUAAUCAAAGAUUCUCUUCUGUGCUUUAAACUUUGAACUUUAUGUUAAUGGUAAAAUCAUGGUAAAAUAAUCAAGCUAUUUAGCUACACUUUGAACUUCUUUUUCCUGCAAUUCUUCUAUUGUUGAACCCUUUGACUAGCUGGGGCGCAAUUACAUUUAUUGCACUAUGGUUAAUUUUGUUUUUCUCUUAAUUCAGUUCAUCAAGAAAUUGAGUUGAUAUUUAAUACUAAAGUUGUGUUUAGAGUGAGGCAAUGAGCUGCAUUAGUAAGGUUCCUUAGAAUGCUAUUGUCAGAAUCUCAUAAUCCUCUAUGUCAUUUUUUGUCCCUUCCGGGUUCAUAACUUAUAUUGCCAGUGUCCUUGUUCAUAUAUACAAUUAAUCUUGUGCAUAGCACUGAAAUGUUUGUAAUGUGCAUGCCUCAAUGUGUGUAGGUUUAUGCACUAACCAAAGAACGAGACACAUUGAGGAGAGAGCAAAAUAAGAAAAGUGACGCGGCUGCUCUUUUGAAAGAGAAGGACGAAAUUAUCAGUCAGGUUAUGGCUGAAGGUAUGCAUAAUUGUGAUUUUUAUGCUUACUGAACAUAUUUUAACUAAUGUUAAGUCAAAAUAUGUUCUGUUGUAUUGUUGAAAACAAUAUGAAAUUGCCUUUUCUAUUAUUUAAAGACAUCCAGUGAACAUUCCAAAUAUUAAUGUUACCAUACGUUAUGUUGCACCGUGUCGAGCACCCUUUAUUGAUUAGAGUCAUUUCAAUCGUGACUUCAAUGAUCAUGCAUGAAUAUGUACAUAUUAGUAAGAUUAGAAAAAUAUGUAAUUGCCUCCAGAACAUGGAUAUAAGACCAUAAAAAUGACAUCACAAACUUUUAAACCACCUAUCACUUCUGUAUGGGCCUGUACUCUGCAGUUUAUCGUGUGAUAUUUGGAAGUUUUGUGUCUUUAAGCUAGCCUUGGUUGAGUGCCUUACUGCUUUGGUUGGAGCUGAAGUCCUUGGCUCUCUGCUGUAAGGCUCUGAUCUGGCUACCAAUGGUAGUUGUAGAUAACUAGGUAUUAGGCAUGCACAUUUUCUUUGUGAAAAGGGCCUAAUGCCCUAAUGUGUAAGUUUGCCGUUAUUCCUCCAUCCGCUGCUUUAGACCAUGUACAUACUAUAGCCCCCCAUGUGAUCAUGUUCACCUUUUUAGUAUGUUCUGGACCAUGAUUGGCAAUGACACUAACAUCUUGUUUUUACCAAUGGAACAGGCGAAGAGCUAUCCCGAAAACAAGCUGCUCAAGAAGCUACUAUACGGAAACUGAGGACGCAGGCAUGGGAUAUGACUCUAUAACCAUACUACUUCAUCAAAAUUAUAAAGUAGGUUUUACCAAAGUAAUCAAGUUUGCUUUCUUUUUUUUGGUUGAAGCUAGGUUCGUGAGCUUGAAGAAGAAAAACAGCGGAUGAACUCAAAGAUCCAGGUAAAAAGGAAAAUCAACUUUGUUUUAUUAAUGAAUGAAUAAAUAAAUUAAUUGACCCCAACUAAAUUAUUUUCUUAUCUGCUUUAAUAUCAUAAAGUAUUUUUCUUUGCUGUUUGCAUGAUUAAAAAAAUCAUUUCUGAAGCUAUUUUUUAUUGUUUGUUUAUUCCUAUUUGUUUUGUUCCAUUUGAACAGUAGUUUGCAUCACCCGUACAGCUUGUUUACAGUUUCAUGAGUUCGUUACAGUCAGACAUGCUUUUUUCUUUCUUACUUGGUUGAUGGGCAACUCUGAAAUAUUGCACUCAGAGAUUAUGGAGUUGAUCUUCAUCCUUUUUGUUUGCUCUCAGGCUUCAAGUGCAGUCACUAACUCAGCAAUUUUCUGACUUUACAGGUUGAGGAGACAAAGGUUGAGAGUAUUAAAAGAGACAAGGCAGCAACCGAGAAGUUGCUACAAGAAACAAUAGAAAGAAAUCAAUCUGAACUUGCAGCUCAGAAGGAGUUCUACACAAAUGCUCUUAGUGCAGCAAAAGAGGCUGAGGCAUUAGCUGAAGCAAGAGUCAACACUGAAGCCAAAGUUGAGCUUGAGAGCCGUUUGAGAGAAGCUGGUGAAAAAGAAAACAUGCUGAUUAACACAAUUGAUGAGUUGAGGAAUGCUCUCACCAGACAAGAACAGGAGGUAUGCUAUGAAAAUAUUCGUCUGCACCUGUGCAUCUGUAGUUCAACAUCCUCGGUACAAAUAGUGUGUAUAUUGUGCUGAUCUAACCAUAAUCUACAUUUGACUCCUGGAUAAAAACUUCAUCUGAUAAUUAUUGUUUUAGCUGCCCACUUUCGAUUCACUGAUUGCAAGUAUUUCUUUCGUGGCAUUUCAGGCAGCUUUCAGGGAAGAAAGGCUAAAAAGGGAUCAUGAUGAUCUUCAAAAGCGGUACCAAGUAAGCUCUUCUGUUUUAGCUGCUACUACAGAGUACUGUAGUCAUGGACCAAUUCUCAAUUUCUUUCAUUAUUUAAUACUUCAGGCCAGUGAACUUCGUUAUAAUGAACUGGUUACACAAGUUCCUGAGUCGACCAGGCCACUCCUAAGGCAAAUUGAAGCCAUGCAGGUAUGAGUGCUUGCUUUGGAUUUUCCUUGUGCUGUAAUUGUUUCGCUGUUCUUCUGUUAGUUGGUGUAUGCAUCCGAGUCUGUGAAUUGAGUUUUUCUGCUGUUGUAAGUUGGCUAAUCAGUUGUGUUUUAAUUUUAACAGGAGUCAGCUGCUCGAAGGGAAGAAGCUUGGACUGGUGUGGAGAGAACCUUAAACUCUCGCCUUCAGGUCAAUUCUGUUCUGAACUUUUGGUUUAACAGUGAUGUGCAGAAAAACAAUGGAGAAAACUAGAACUACAACAUGGACCUUAAAUUGUUAUAAAUGUGCAAUGAGCAGGGACAGCAGAACAAAAUGGACAUAAACUUUGACAUUAAGUCAUUAAUAACUGUUUUCUUGUAGUUAUUUAUGCCUCUGCAAAUGUACAGAUAAAGAGGAGUGGUUGGGUGCUAUCUAUCUUUAGUGCAGUCGGGCAGUGUCAGGAACACAAACAUAAAUAUUUCACUGACAUAGUUUUAUCUGUCCUACUCAAAUAUGCAGGAAGCAGAAGCAAAAGCUGCUGCCUCGGGAGAAAAGGAGCGGUCCAUAAAUGAGAGAUUGUCACAAAGUUUAUCACGCAUAACUGUUUUGGAGACCCAGGUUUGUGCAAUAAUUUCUUCUAAAAACAAAAACUUGUGACAUUAUUGUAAGUCAACCCGGGUUUUUGGCAACAAUUUGGGGCCUUUAGUAAGAAAAGUAUUUAUUUUGAAAUGAACUUUGUGUCUUGUGCAGAUUACAAUUCUUAGAACAGAGCAGACACAGCUGAGCCGAUCUCUUGAAAAAGAGAGGCAGAGAGCAUCUGAAAGUAGACAGGAGUACCUUGCAAUUAAGGAGGAGGCGGCAAUACAAGAAGGACGCGCCAAGCAACUUGAAGAAGAAAUAAAGGAGCUUAGAGCUAGGCACAAAAAGGAGUUGCAAGAAGCAGCAGAACACAGGGGGCUGCUUGAGACGGUAGUCAAUUUUCUCUGUGAAUCACUUCCUGAAAAGAACUGGAACUACAUGUAUACGGAGCAAUGUUUCUGCUGCCAAUUUCAUUGAUGAGACCUAGAAACACUUUGUUUAACAUAUGACAUAAAAUUUGAACUUUGGAGGCUAUCUUAUAGCAGGCCUAUUUUAGGAUCAACCGGUAUUUGUUUACUUCGUUGCUUUCCCUACGUGAAGAAAAUUAGUUUUAAAUGUCACUAAUCAUGUGCCUGCCAUUAGAUCUUCUAGUUCAUACAUUACCAACUUGGCAACAAUUUAAUGUGUCUAUUAAAUUCUUGCGUCAAUUGCAACUUCUGAAUUUCAGGACCUUGAAAGGGAAAAGGCUGCCAGAGCAGAACUUGAGAAAACAUCUUCCCGGGAGCCACCUAAAAUUCCGCUUCCAGAUCAAACAAGUAUGCUCUUUCUUGGCCUCUGAUUAGUUUCUGUAAGUUCAAUCCAGCUUUUCUUUUUUGUUGCCUUACCUGUGACUCUGUUGGUUUCCUCUUUGCUUUUCUUGAAGGAAAUGCUCCUGUCAGAAGGCUCUCUAGUGCUUUGAGUGUUGGCAGCCUGGAAGAAAGUCAUUUCCUUCAAGCAUCAUUGGACUUAUCAGAUAGUUCAUCAUUGGAGAGGAGAAUGUCAGCAGAAAAUAAUAUGUCAUACUAUCUGAGGAGCAUGACUCCAAGUGCUUUCGAGUCAGCACUCCGUCAAAAGGACGGAGAACUGGCUUCUUACAUGUCACGCUUGGUAUGUAUAUGUGCGGAUGCAUCCUUCUAAUAUUUCUCCUAAACUAUUUUAUUUUAUUUUCUUGCUAUAUAUAUAAAUUUGAUAUUACUUCUGGAAACUGACAUUUGCUGAUUAUUCAAGCUAUUAUUUCAUAAAGUAUAUUGGAGUAGAAAGCUAUUUUUAGCCGAUUUACACCUGAACUUGUGCAUUAUGGAUGUCUAAAAUAUUUCUAGUUAAGUUUAGCACUAGCUUGUGCAUACACACACUAUUUCACACUCCCUUUAAAAAUUGGUGAAACUAUAUCAAGUUGCUGGCAAACCCUGAGCCCAACUGUAUGUUGCCAUAUAGCGUUUUUUUUUGGCUGUUUUCAUGAGGUGCCUGGUUACCUAACUUAUAUCAUUCAGCAUCAUCUAGAAUGUAGUGGGCCAUUUACUCCCUGGACAUUGUAUCAAGCACUCAUCAGUCCCAUACUAGUUUUAAAACCCUACGGGUUAAUUACUACAAAUUCAUGUGUCAUUCUCAUAUAUCCUAAUUUGUGAAGAAGCAGGAGCGGUAGCUUGGAAUAGUUCCACGACUUGUGUUUUCAUAAGAUGUUUUACCUUUACAUGUUUUGCCCACUAGAAUGGCCUACACCAUUUGAAGCCAUCUAUGCUGGCAACGUUUCCGUAUCUGUUUCAUGUUCUAUCAAACAAUCUUCAGUCCCAUACUGGUUUUAAAAGCCUAUGUGUUAGCUACUACAAAUUUGUGUGUCAUUCUCGUAUAUCCUAAUUUCUGAUGAAGUGGAAGCAAUAGCUUGAAAUAGUUCUGUGACUUAUGUUUCCAAAAGGAUGUUUCUUUUAUCAUGACAUCAGGUCACCCUCAAAUGUUCAUCAUUUAGGUUAGGUUUAGGAUAUGAUAUGUUUGUACUACUUGUGCUACAGCCUUGAGAGCAUUGUCGUAGACUCCUUGGGUAUGCAAUUGUUCUAAUACUUCGGCCUUCAUGCUUUAGUACGCUAAUCUCUCUUGCAAUUGGCACUGAAUAAAUGUCACUUUUAUAUUACAGGCCUCAUUAGAAUCUAUUCGGAAUUCUCUGGCGGAGGAGUUGGUGAAACUGACAGAACAAGUAAAUCAUUGUGAACCAACUAGACUAUAAUUUCAUUAUAUAUGCGGGUGCUAAUUGAACUGGUUUCGUAUGCAGUGUGAAAAAUUGCGGACUGAAGCUGCUGCUCUGCCUGGCCUAAGGGCUGAACUGGAAGCACUGAAACAAAGACACUUUCAAGCUCUAGAACUUAUGGGUGAACGUGAUGAAGAGGUAUUUCUCACAUGCAGUGCAUCUCACCAUUACUCUCUGUGUUAUUGACUUGUACCACAAGAUACACCAACAAUAUAUAAUCCGUCAUUAUAUUUAGUCUCAUAUCAUAUGGAAAAGGGAGUCCUCUUCAUGAAUCAAAUUGUGGUAGCGAGCUUACAUAGUGGAAUCCUGUAAUUAACUUCACUAAUUAGUAACCUGGAAUUUCUACACUAAGUAGCUUGUAGUGACUUUUGGUGAUUGCAACCUAGCCCACAAACCCAGCUGUUUCAGUCAUAAAACCUGUAACUCGUCUGGUUUUAGAUUUGAUGUUGUUUUUCAAACUUUGGUUAUUGAAAUGUAAACAUCUAUUCGCUGUAAUUUGUUGAAAAUGAGGGUCUGUAUAGAAAUUGCCAUGGUAAAGGAAAACUAGAGGUGACCUGGUCUCAGUUUACGGGGUGGUUACUGGUUGCUAACCACCGGUUGGAACUGCCAUGAUGGCUGGGACUCUGGUUACAUUUUUAUGCACACUCUGUAGCUGCCGUAUAAGAUGGUCCUGAAAAAUGUUUUAGUAAAUUCAAUUAAUAUGACCUAUUACCAAUACUACUUUCUGUUAACAAUGGAAUGGACCCAUGCAUAAGCUUGACAAUGAACUAGUUGUCUGACAGUUGGCAUAAGCUGCCUAAUUUAACCUGUCCGUAUUAGUGUCUUCUCAAAGGGAUGUGAAUUCAAUGCGACAUUGUGUGUGCACGAUACACUUUCGGAUAUCUUUGUAUUAUUGUUCCGUAGACCCUUACCUUCUAUUUCUUUCAUACUUAUUAUGAAAAAAAAUCUGUGCUGUUUUGCAGUUAGAAGAGUUACGAAAUGAUAUUGUUGACCUAAAGGAUAUGUACAGAGAACAAGUGGAUCUUCUUGUUGGCCAGGUUUGAAGUAUAUUGAUUUAAAUUCUGCUUGUCAUUGCGGAACCCUGAAAUGUGUUGCCCUAAAACAUCAAUUUUCCUUUUAUCAGCUCCAGACAUUGGGCGCUCGUGUAUAGCAGUGAAUUUGACAUCCCAUUUAAUUUUUAAUGCACUGCAUCGACCGAGACCAAGAUAACAAUUUUGAAGCCUGAACAUGUUUCUUCAGAAUUCGAACUGAUGCGAGUGUGGGAAGUUCAUAAUCACACAACGAGUGAAGAUAUUAUUUGUGUACAUUUUGAAGCAUCUUUGUUGUUGAAUUUAGUAGGAUAGUUUGUUGUAUACUAGAUUGAAUAGCUUCACAGUUUUACGUUUACAGAAAUUGCAAAAAAAUAAUUUACUGAAGUGUACCAAAUUUGGAACCUACAAGUGUAUGUCGACGUCUCUAAUAAUAUGGAGAUCCUGUUUUGACAGCUUUGUCAGGUUUUCUGUCACUCUGUAAUCCAGGAUUACUUAGUUUGAUUUUUUGCUAGUUUGGAAAGACUAAAAUAUAUUAGAUUAAGACCGCGUAUUGUGAUGUUGCCGCAAAGAAAUGUAUCCAGCCUGGGGAAAAGCUUCAUUCCCAGGUGCACAAUAAGGGUUGUAAAUGCACAGGAAUAGGAAAAGCACGUGACUACAAUAUCAUGCCCCAAAUUGUAUAGGAUUGUGUUUAUGCCAACUUUUUUUUUAUAUAAGUGUUUACUCAAAAGUUUGUUUGAUUCGAUCAUAGUAAGAAAUUUCCAACAGGUUUGAUCAAUAGAAAAUUUCCUAUGAAAUGUGGUUCAAAGAAAUUCUAAGAAAAAUAUCUAUAAAUUCAAUCCUACAAAUCAAACAACAAAGAUAGCAAAAUUUCCUAAGGACUUGCAUUGAAAUAUUGGAGGAUUGGAAAAGUUCCUAAGGACUUGCAUUGAAAUAUUGGAGGAUUGGAAUACUUAGAUUUUUUUUUUCCGGUGGGUUGUUUGAUUUGAAAGUUGAGUCGGGUGGGAAAUCUUUCUUUAGGGUUCUUUUGCACUGUAUUUUAUAAAAAAAGAAAUCUUUUCAUUCAAACCUUUAGUGAAGAUUCAUUUGUUUUUCCUUGAUUCAAUCAAACACAACAUUGAUGUCACCACAAUCUUGUAUUCAAAUAGGCAUGGCAUUGCAAUCCUAUUUUUCAAAUCCUACGAAUCAAAGAGAACCUAUGGAACUUUACAAGAUUACGAUGUUAACAUAGAUUGGAGUUGCAAUGAAGGAUUUUAUGUGAGAACCUAGCUUUGCUGCGAAUUAAAUCUCAAACACUAGAUUUUACGAGAGAACCCAACUUCGUAGCGGAUCAAAUGUCAAAACGCCGCCAAAGAGACGGUAUGUUUGAUACCACUCAGUCAGAUCCUUCUACGUGUGAUCGACAAUUCACCAGAAGAUACUUUCUUUUGUCCUGAUGUUGUUGCCAGAGCAAUCUGGCUUUGUAAUUAUCCAAUCUUUUGAUAACUCCUCUAGUUUGCUUUGACGAAAGACUGACAUGUGCAAAGAAACACUACUUAUACUGUUAUACAUGCCUCCAAUAGAUUAAAAAAAACUUUUACAGCCUUCCAACUUCUUUUCAACUCUUUCCUCUUUAGGUUCCCAAUGAGAAUUGCUCAGUCUUUUAACGUCCACUGGAAUUCCCUCAUAAGUUAAGGGGAGACUACCCAUGUUAAAAUCGAAAAUUUUACUAGAACAAACACUUCUUUGAGCAAAAUCUCUUACACGGUACAACUCGCUCUUAUGAAAGUUAACUUUCUGACCAUGAACUAGCUCAAAAGCACAUAAAACGAAUUUUAAGUUUUUGUCGUGGACCAGAUCAUCCUUAAAUUGACAAGCCCCCCCCCCCCCCCCUUCUGCUUAAAAAGGGAUAAAAAAAGGGAAACAUGAGUUGUUGAACUGCCAUUCGAGUCCAUGGUUUUUUUUUUCUUUUCUUUUUUCUAGAAUACACCCAAGCAGGUGUAUCAUAUAUUGAAGGAGGAUUCCGCGACGCAUUUACAUGCCCGUAGGCGCCAGUAAAGCGACCAUUCUAUUACAUUCCACAAGGGAUCCACUAGACUAGAAAGCGAAAAAUCUACACUAUGAAAAAGACCCGCGCUCGACCAUGCCCUUCCUUCACUGUUGAUCAUUUGUUGUAUCUUUCUAGCACUCGGAGUUGCUGCAUCGAACACCACCGAGUUCCUGUGCUUCCAGAGGCACCAGCAGAUGAGAGUAAUGCUAGUGUUGAGGUUCCUCUUCUCUUUCUUGCCUUGCACCACAAGGCUCGUCCACCAUUCGGCAAGAGAGGCUUGCGGAGUAGGGAGCCAGCAAAGCCUGUUCCAGCCCCGCAGCGAGGUCGACCACACUUCCCGAGCCACGACGCAACCAAGAAGAAGAUGGUCAAUGGUCUCAUUGCUUUGAUCACACAAAGGACAGCGUGCCGGGUGGGGCAAACCCCGCUUCGAAAGCCUAUCCGCCGUCCAACAACUAUUUUUUAGAGCCAACCACAUGAAUGUCUUGCACUUAGUUGGCGCCUUGGAGGACCAGACCUCAGUAGCCCCCGCAGCAAGCACACGACCCCGGAAGAAAGCCGCGUACGCAGACGAGGCCGUGUAGGUCCCAUUGUCGCUCCAUUUCCAAUGGAAACGAUCAUCAUCGUAUGAAAGAAUCACCUCAGCCACGCGGUCAUGAACCACCAGAAGAUCCACAAGCGCCUGAAAGCAGAGCUCCGGGUGGAUGGCCCGAAGCCAACCAUUGGCAUGCAAAGCCUCGGCCACAGAAAGCCUGGAUGCCCUACGCAAGAUCUCCGAUAGCAGCGUAGGCGCCAAAUCCGCAAGUGAACGCCCCUCCGGUAGCCAAGGAUCAUACCAAAAAUGUAGAGCUUCACCAUUCCCCCUUGCCACCUCAAUCGCCGCCUCACAAAGUGCCCUGGCCUGUUCCGGGAUUUGGAUGUUGAAUUCAGCCCAUGGACGCGUCGGGUCCACAUGACAUAGCCACCCCCAUCGUGUUCUGAGUGCAAGAUUGAGAAGCUUCAGAUUAGGGAUGCCUAAACCACCAAUCUUGCGAGGGGAACUGCCUUUCCACAAGAACACACGACAUAUCUUCUCUAUGCCCGCAAUGGUCUUCAUAGGAAGGUUGAGAGACAUCAUGACAUAGACCGGCGUAGCUGAGAGGGUCGAUCUAACAAGGGUGAGCCAUCCCCCAAGAGUAAGCAUAGGGACGGACCAUGUCUGGAGCUUAUUCGCCACCUUGUCCACCAUAGAUGAAAGUUGAGUUGCCGUUGGCUUCCGAAGCCCGAGAGGUAAGCCCAAUUAGGUACAUGGGAAAGGCCCCACCUCACAACCAAGCGUGCAAGAUCAAUGGUCUUGACAAAGAUAUUUAAAGACUUGUAUUGUGCUACCGAAUUCAUAUUAGCAAACGUGCAAGAUCAAUAUUUGUUUAGUUUUUUUUUGACAACAUAGAUCAAUAUUUGUUUAGACACGAUGAUUGAGCGAGUACAUGCGAUGUAACAGUCGGAAAAGGUUUCACACAAGUUCAUUUGUCAGUGAACAAAUUAUCUGCAUUGCAUUUUUUCAUAACAAUACAUGGACGUCUGUUCCGUUGGGCUCAAAAAGAAUUAAACAAAAAAUAAACGUCGACAGCAGGAUUCGAACCUGCGCAGGCAAAGCCCAACAGAUUUCGAGUCUGUCUCCUUAACCACUCGGACAUAUCGACCCACUUGGUCUUUUAUUCCUCUCAGUAUUUAUAUACAUGACUAUUCUGUUAACAGAUUGAUGAUUUUUUGUCAUUGCUAUAACCAUCUUUUACAAAAUAUUUGAAGCUUGCAGCAGAACAUGUAAACAUUUAUUCCUUUGAGAUGCGGGGUCAUAAUUUCUGCAAAAAAAAAACUCUGUACCCUUUUCGCAAGAAAAGAAGGAGAGCUAUCACCUGAGUACUCCGUAUUUAGCAUUCUUUAAUUUACAUACUAGUGCUCUAGAAAAAAGUUGCAUAUAGCUUCGUUGCCAAAUCAGACGGGCACUCGGGGCUGCAAUUGCAUGAUGGGCAAUUUGCCAUGCAUUAUUUGACGGAGUACCAACACGGAACACCCGGAAGCGUGAGGCAGCAGGUGCAUUCUUCAGUCAUUCAGUCCAGCCUUCCCUUUCGGUUUCUCCGCUGCCCUUGCCUAGCUAGGCUAAGCUUGUUUAGCUCGUAACAUUUCAAUGUUAAGUUUGCUAUCUUCCAAUGAGGAGUCCACUGUAGUAGCAUUAGCAGUUGGGUUGGUAUGGCCAUCUUGGUAGCUUCUUCUAGCCUCGGGACUUUACAAUCGAAUGCAUCAAUGCAAGAACAUAUGCAUUGUGAUGUACUAACAAGGAUCGAUAAGUAGAAUGAAAUCUGUGUCUUGUUCCAUUAAAUGAUGAUUAUAUUUAUACAAGAGGAAGGGACACCAAUACAUGCAUUGGUGUCCCAAGUUUUGGGCAUUCGCAUCCCGACACAGACGGUUACAACAUUGACUGCCUAAUUAACCAUUAAUUAACUAAUAAUUAAUUCUAAUUGAUCAUAAAUAAUUAUUCUCAACACUCUCCCUUGAUCAAUUUGCUCCAUUGAUUUGUAUAUUCUUGAAUCAUCAUGAAAUCUUGUAAUUUCCUCUAAAAACCCUAUGGGAAAAAUAUUGAGGAAAUAAUAAUAAUAUCGAUAUGUUAUGAAAAACUCCCUUUAAAAAUCCAAUGGGAAAAAUAAGGAGAAAAUGGUAUAACAUAUUUUGAAUAUUGUCUCUUGAUAAUUCAUAUUGAAUUAUAUGAACAAUAAAUAUGCCUUGUAUAUUAUCCACAAAAAUCCCGGUGGGGAAAAUAUAAAAUAUGACAUAUAAUCUUAUGUUAAUAUUGUCUCAUUAAAAACCUUUUAUGAGAAACUAGUGAGUAAAACUCAUAAUAGGAAAAGAGUGCAAUAUGAUGUUAUGAACAGGUUAAAUUCAGGUGAAUACUCCCCCUAAUGCUUGCAAAUUUUUAAGUCGUCGCAUACCAAUCCCAUGUACACAUUUUUUAAAUGUGGAGUUGGGUAAGGACUUAGUGAACAAAUCUGCGAGGUUAUCACGUGAUUUGGUUUGCAAGAUAUUUUUCUCCCCAUUUUGUUGUAAUUCAUGAGGAUAGAAUAGUUUAGGUGCAAUAUGUUUAGUUAUAUUGCUUUUUAUAUAACCUGUUUGCAUCUGGGCAACACAAGCAGAAUUAUCCUCAUAGAUAAUUGUUGGUGAUUCAAUCAAACCAAUACCACAUGAUUGUUGUAUAUGGUUAAUCAUUUUGCAUAGCUAUACACUUUCACGAGAUGCUUCGUAUAAAGCUAUUAUUUCUGAAUGAUUUGUGGAUGUAGCCACUAUAGUUUGCUUAGAAGGCUUCCACGAUAUGACUGUCCCACCGUGUAGGAACACGAAACAGGUCUGGGAUCUGGCAUUCUGGGGAUCAGAUAAAUAGCCAGCAUCAGUGUAUCCGAUUAAUUCAGAGUCUUGGUUUUCCUGUUGGAAAUAUAGACAUAGAUCUUUAGUGCCUUGUAGGUAGCGAAAAACUUGCUUGACUCCUACCAAUGACGUUUUGUUGGAGCUGCGCUGUGUCUAGCUAGUAAAUUUACAGCAAAUGCAAUAUCUGGCCGGGUGCAAUUUGCUAGGUACAUUAAUGCUCCAAUGACACUAAGAUAUGGGAAUUCAAAUCCUAAAAUUUCCUCUCCAUCACCUUUUGGUCUGAAUGGAUCUUUCUCUACGUCUAGAGAUCAAACUACCAUAGGUGUUUUGCAUUGAUAGGAUUUGUCCAUGUUAAAUUUCUCUAAGAUUUUCUGGAUAUAUGUAGCUUGGUGAACCAAUAUUCCCGAAGGAAGGUACUCAAAUUGUAAACCUAAGCAGAACUUGGUUUUACCCAAAUCUUUCAUUUUAAAUUCCGUCAUUAGAUAAUUACGAGCUUCAUCUAUAUCCUGUUUGUUGCCAAUGAUGUUUAAAUCAUCAACAUAUACAGAGAUAAUGCAAAAUCCUGUUUUGAAUUUCUUGAUGAAUACACAUAGGCAGUCAUCAUUGUUAGAGUAAUCCUUUUUAAUGAGAAACUCACUUAGUCGGUUGUACCACAUUCUACCCGACUGUUUUAAACCAUAUAAAGAUUUAUUCAACUUUACACAGUACAUGUUGCGUCUUGCGUUAGUAUUCGGAAUUUGGAUCCCAUCGGGAACCUUCAUGUAAAUGUCCGAAUCUAAUGACCCAUAAAGAUAUGCAGUCACGACGUCCAUUAACAGCAUAGAUAGACGAUUUUGAACAGACAAUGAGAUUAAAUAUCGGAAAGUAAUUCCACUCAUAACCGGAGAAUAUGUUUCAUUGAAAUCAAUGCCGGGUCUCUGCGUGAACCCUUGUGCUACUAGUCUCGCUUUGUAUCUCACCACCUCAUUGUUUUCGUUCCUUUUCUGGACAAAAAACCCAUUUGAAUUCCACUGGAAAAACAUUUGGAGGUGUAGGUAUUAUUUCUGUAAAUACCUUUCUUUUAUUGAGCGAGACUAUUUCUGCUUCAAUUGCAUCCUUCCAUUUAGGCCAGUCGGAGCGUUUUUCACACUCAGCUAUGGUCUUUGGAUCAUGAUUAUUUAGAAGGUUGUUUGCAAUCUUAGUAGAGAAAUAAGUGUCGACAAACGUAGUCUUUCUGUUGUAUAUUUCUCCAGUGUCUAAGUAAUUUGUGGAAAUUUCGUUUAUCUUUGGUGACUGUUCGCGAUUUCCCGUUGCGGUCAAGUCUAGGUUUUCCGAUGUCCCAGCAUCAGUAAUUGAGUGCACUAUUGAUCUGAGUUGUGGAUGUUGGUUAUCCACUGGGUGUCUAUUACCCAAUUGAUCUCGGUCAAUUAAAUGUUGACUCACAUUUGUUGUUGUAGAAGGAGGUUCAGAAGGUUUAUUCUUCUGUUUUCUUUGCCGCGGCUCCUUCAUUUGUUCCUUUUGUUGCUUGCUGGAAGCUUGAUCCUUUUUAGUUGUCGUACCUCUCCCCCUCUUCCUUUGAACGGUAGGUGCAGGAGGUUGAGUAGUUUUUAUAGGUACCUCCACUCUUUCGGAUACGUUUUGUGCAUGAUUAUAGGAUUUAGUUACACCUUUGUAAUCAACAAAUGCGUUUGGUAAAUUGUUUGCAAUAUGUUGCAAAUUUAUAAUUUUCUGAACUUGUUGUUCAGUUUCUUGAGUACGUGGAUCUUGAAAGGGCAUUUCUUUCCUAGUUAAUUUUGGUGGUGAUGACAACGUGUGUUGUGGACUAAUCGUGCGUUAAGUAUUUCAGAUUUGAUAUCAAAUGGCGCAAAACGAUUCGAUGCCCUCAAGUUAGAAAACAAAGAGUAGUGGAGUUUUCGCGGCUUUUUCGGUUAUGGAGUCGUAGGAACUCCGUACUAUUAAGAGGGAGUUCACAUGGGAAGGUAAUGGGUGAAUCGCUUUUCACGUACACAAACAAACAUCUUGCAUCCACAUAAAGCCUACCCAAAAAAUGAGAGAGAACCAACCCUAGAGCCUAAUUGGUGUGCAUUUGCCUGCCCAGGUCCGGAAGUUCCGGUGGGGUUCCGGUACACCGGAACUUCCGCCCAACCUCCGGACCAGGUCCGCAACGCUACUGGAAUCCAUUGUGGAUUUCCGGAAGUUGAGCCGGAACAGUGCCGAAACUUCCGGUGACCAGCGGAAGUUCCGCCCCUGGAACUCGCAGUGCAUAACGGUUAGAUUUUGGGGAGUCCAAAUAGAUACCCCUUCAUCCCCAACGGGUUUCUUGUCCGAGCACGAAGCAAAAAACAGCCACCUCUCUCCCAAGAACUUCCUAAGCUUCAUUCUACUAGAUCUCCCUCCAUAAAUUAAGCUUCCCCCUUGUUGAUUCUUUGAGAAUUGGAGGAGAAGACCUAGAUCUAGGGUUCACCAAGUCACAAAGUUGAUUCCCCUUGUUUCUCUUGUGGAUUUCAUUUCUCUUGGGCAUUUGGGAGCUCUAGACGGAAGUGGUUGCCUUGAGCUCUUCCCUUAGGGAUUGUGGAGCUUGAGGAUUGGAUUGGGAGCCUCCAAUUGAGUUGUGGAGCUAGCCUUGGUCAAGUUUGUAAAGGUUCGGUUUUCGCCUUCAAGGAAGUCAUUAGUGGAGCUCACUCACCUUUGUGGUGCCGUGAGAGGAGAAUAGAGUGAGCCUUUGUGGCGUCUCUACCUUUGUGGUAGAGCACUCCUCCAAACGGAGACGUACACCUACCCCAAUCGGUGGAACUCCGGUGAAAUCUUCGUCUCACCUGUGGUAUCCAUUCUUACCCUUCACAUUCUUGUUAUCUAGUUGCUUCGGCUGCUAUUGCACUUCAUCCUAGGGUUGCAUUACCUUUAGAGAAUUUAGUAAACCCUAGGUUAAGUGUUUGUAUCUUUCUAGAAAAAAAAGAUUAAAAUUUUGUUAGUCGCCUAUUCACCCUCCCCUCUAGCCGACCAUACCGAUCUUUCGGAUCUGAGGCUGAAAUGCCUUGGACAUUCCAGUUGAUUUCCUGGCAUUCUUGUUUUUGGUACUUUAAUUCUCCCCCUAAUGCCGGGAAAUGAUCCUCAUUAAAAAUACAAUCAGUGUACCGGGCAGUGAAUAGAUCCCCUGUGAGAGGUUCUAGGUACUUUAUAAUUAACGGUGAUUUGUACCCCACAUAGAUCCCCAAUUUUCUAUGUCGUCCCAUUGAUGUACGUUGUGGUGGUGAGAUCGGUACGUAUGUAGCGCAGCCGAAUUUUCGCAGAUGGGAAAUACUUGGUGGAUUUCCAUGUACUAAUUGAAGGGGAGAAGUAGUAUGAUAUGCAGUUGGUCGCAAUUGAAUUAAAUCAGCGGCAUGUAUAACCGCAUGACCCCAACAAGUUGUUGUUAAAUUACAAUUCUGUAAUAAAGGUCUUGCGAUAAAUUUAAUUCUCUUAAUAAAAGAUUCAGCCAAACCGUUUUGUGUGUGGACAUAUGGGACUGAGUGCUGAACUUCGAUUCCUAAUGCCAUGCAAUAAUCAUUGAAGGCGCGUGAGGAGAAUUCAGCCGCAUUGUCCAUUCGAAUUAUUUUAAUUCGAUGUUCUGGAUAAUGAGCUUUUAGUUUAAUCACUUGGCUCAUUAUAUUUGCGAAUGCAUGGCUACGUGUGGAAAGUAGACACACAGUAGACCAUCUUGUAGAUGCGUCGAUUAAGACCAUGAAAUACCUAAAUGGUCCAGACAAUGGUUGGAUAGGGCCACAAAUAUCCCCUUGAAUUCAUUCAAGGAAUUGGAGUGGUUCCGCUUGUAUUUUAAGAUAAGAAGGUCUUAAAUGAGCUUGCCUUGUGCACAUGCGGUGCAUAAAAAAUCCUGAGAUUUUGGAAUUUUGCUUUAUUAAGAUUAUGACCAAUGGAAUUAUUAAUAAUUUUCCAUAUCAUCCCGAUACCGGGGUGACCAAGACGAUCAUGCCAAGUCUGGAAUGUAUUGACAUUCUGAAAAAUUAUUUUAUACGCAACAUGGGCUACAGGUUUUAUGUAUGUAUAGUACAAUCCGGACGGUAAAGAAGGAAUUUUUUCAAGAAUUUGUUUACCAUAUCUGUUAUGUUUUGUAAAUAAGAGAAAUUCCUCAUUGUUGUCAUCGUGGGUUUCAAUAUGAAUCCCAUUUUGACGGAUAUCCCUAUAACUUAUUAGAGUACGAGUUGAAUCGGGAUACAAUAAAGCGUUCUCGAUUAUUACUUGUGUACCCAUAGGAAGUAUGAUGACGGCACGUUCAGAGCCAACAAGUAUCGCGUCCAGCGAUUGUCAAAAUAUUCCCUUGCGUUUUAGUAAGGGUUUGAAAAUAUUUUUAUUCCCUAAGUAUAUGUUUGUGGUGGCGUUGUCCACAAGGCAAAAGUUUUUCGUCCAUUUUGGAUUGACUCCCGUAGAAAACUAUAUAUGAAAAAUGAAGAAUUUUAAUAUCAUUCUUAAUAGAUAUAUAGAAUACAUACAAAUUUAUUUAUGUAUGAAAUUGAUAAUACAAUAUCGUAAUUUACAAUACAUAUGUCAAAUAUGUAGGUACCAAAGUGCUGAUACAAUAAUGUAAUAUUGCAAUAUAGAUGACAACGGUCACUAUAAUUUAUUUACAACAAUAUUUAGGAACGUAAAUAUAGAUAAUAUCUAUUUCGGAGAUAGGUGAACUAAUUUAGGUCUCCAAACAUAUUAUUUGAAGUGAAUUCAAUGAUCAUGUUCUCCGUGCUCAUUAGAUCCUCAGACGAUCGGAUUGUCGGUUUGUUGCUUGGGUCCUCCUUUAUAUCAUGUGAACAACCGGUUUCCUUGAAAUUGUCGGAUUGGAAAUUGAAGUGUGAUUCAAAUCUUGGUCCUUGAUGAGCAAGUCACUUGCGUCCUACGGAUUGGAGGUACAGAUCUACCAAAUGACGAGGGGUACGGCAUUUCUUUGUAAUAUGCUUGUAGCACCCACAUUUCUGACAAACUUUAGAUUUGUCGUAUUAUGGUUUGAAAGUGCCUUUCCCCUUUUCCUGUACACGUGGCUUGUUUUUCUUGUAGCCCUUUUGCUUGCCUUUGAAGUUGUUUGGUCGAUUAGUCGAUCCAUUGAACUUGUUGUUUUUCUGAAAAUUAGCAUGUACUUCAGGCAAAGGUGCAGCGCCUACAGGACGCUGAUGAUGGUUCCUCAUUAGAAGUUCAUCAUGCUUUUUGGCUUGAAGUAAAACAUGGAUAAGAUCAAAAUAUCUAUUGAAUUGGCGUGCACAAUACUGUUGCUGGAGGAUCCCAUCGAACAGAAGCAUAGUGGAUAAGUUCUUUUCAAUCUUUUCCGCUUCAGAAGGUUCCUUCUCGCAAAAUUGCAACUAGUUUGGAGGGCAAGUCAUAGUGUGUGUGGAUCUUCUUCCAUGAGAUACUCUAAUUUGAGAUCAGCAUGGAUGUGGUUUCUUAUAGUAUAUAAGGCAUUAUAUUUGUAUAAAUCUGCGAUGGGCGGUUGUCCCUCUUGAGGAGGUUGUAUGGCGCUGAAAGACCACAUGACGCAAGGCUCACUUUUACGUCCAUUGCCCAAGUUGGAUAGUUUCGACCGUCGAGAGCGAGUUCCUCAAACUCUUUCCCGGUCAUUUUGUCCUACAUGGGGUUGAAAAACCAUAGAUUUUGUCAAUUACUAGUAGGUAAAGCCAAAAUAUUGUGGUCAUUGUUGUAAUAAAAUUGCAAGAAAAUGCAUGAGAUUUAAUCCAUGUUAAAUUCAUAUAGUGUAUACCUCAAAUAACACUUUGAAGAUAAUCACCGAUUUAUUGGUGUAGAUCUCUCAGCUCUACGCGAAAAAUUCGCUGCUUUCAAUAAGGUUUAUGUUCCCACGGAACAUUCAACGCCAUUUAGCAUUUUACCGUUAUUGAAAGACUGUAGCACCUUGUGUUAUUUUUUAAUUUAAUAUUGGAAGAGCACGUUGAAGGUAGUCAUUGUGUGUAUUCGACACAAUGUAGACCUCUCAGCACUACGUGAAAUAAUUCGCUGCUUUCAAUAAGCUGUACGUUCCCACGGAACAUUCAACACCAUGUAGCAUUUUACCGUUAUUGAAAGUCUACAGUACCUUGUGUUUCGCAUAUAUUAAAUUGAGAUAGUCACAUGGUGAUAAUUUUUGCUUAUCACUAAUGGAGAUUUUUCUUGAAUCAAGUCUAAUUUGGGCUUUUUUUAUGCCAUUUUGGGACUUAAUCGUUGAAGCAAAACUCUCAGAUAUGCAAGAACUAAGAUCUCAAUUGCAAAGGAGUAAAUAUCACAUGUAAUAGGGGAUGUGUAUCAUACAAACACAUUGAACACAACAAUAUUUACAUUGACAUUUACAUAAGAAUAUGUCUUUUAAUAGGAAUCCAUCCUAAAACCACUGGAAUCUAAAUAAAUAUAAGUGCAGGGACCUAUAAGUAUGUAAAAUACUACUGUUAAAUAGAUACAUGGACCAAAUCGCAAAUAGCCAGAAGUUCCGGACUUUUCUGCAAAAUGGCCGUAGCCAGUGGAGGGGGGGCGCGGGCGUGGUCCUGGGCCUCGGCGGCCUUUCGGCUGGCCCAGGUCGGGCCGAGGGGGGGGGGGGGGCGAAAGGGUACAAAGGGGGGUGGGGCGUGCGGUUAGGGUUAGGGUUACCCCGCCCCAACGCUGCCGCCGCCACUGCUCCCCCCAAAUCCCGCCGCUGCCGCCCCGUUGUCGUCGCCGCGAUGCCGCUUCCGCCGCUGCUUCCCCUCCCCUGCGUCGCCGUCGUUGUUAGAGAGAGGGUGGCCCCCCCUCGUUGGAGGAGGAGAGACCGAGGGCGGCCGGGUUCCACCCGCCACCGGCCGGUCCGGUACGGUUAGCCGCCAUGGCGGCCGCGAACUUGCGGAGAAGCCGCCGGGCUUCGAGAUGAACAUUGUCCAGCACCUCUCCGACGUCGUCGUCGGUUGAUGGAGCGGGAUCGGCGGCCGGCGUGGAUUGAGUCGGGGAGGAGAGCGGCGGCGCCAUGCCAUCCCGCGUCGGGCACGGCCUGUGCUCGUGGAUUGGGCAGUACAGCGGCGGUGGAGGUGGCGCAAGAGCGAGGACGAAAUCAUCUUCUUCGCCGAGCAUGCGCGGUGCCGGUCCGAACAAUAUCCAAUCCAUCGAAGGGGUGUAGUGCGGGGAGGCCGGCGUCGUUGUGUCCGUUGGUGCGGCGGCCGGCGGUGUGGCUGUGGUGGGCAUGGCGUGCACCCGAACGGGUCCGACGUCAAGGGGCCCACCGGCGAGUCCAGCGGCGGCGACAACCACGGUAAGCUCCCCGGCAAGGUGCUCCUUUGCCAAAGAACUCGAGAAGGGCAAGAAAAACGAGAGGCAGAUCAUUGAUUGCCAUGCUCCUCACCUUUGUGAUUGUAGAACAAACGUGGCUGAUAACGUGUUAGAAUAAAAUCUGUGUCUUGUCCCAUUGAAUGAUGAUUAUAUUUAUACAAGGGUAAGGAACACCAAUACAUGCAUUGGUGUCCCAAGUUUUGGGCAUUCGCAUCCCAAUUUUCCCAAAAUUGGGACGCGAACAGUUACAAUAUUAACUACCUAAUUAACCAUUAAUUAAUCCUAAUUGAUCCUAAAUAAUUAUUCUCAACAAUAAGCUCAGAUUGUCCAACCACAACAAGACGGCAUGGGAUCGUCCGUGGACUAGUAGCGCGAAUGAACACUUUAACUUUCACCUAUAGCUAGCUUAACUUUCAAAAAAUGCUUAAAAGGGAACUAAGGAGCCCCUGGCUGAUAAGCUCAACAGAAAAGGAUUGGAAAAGGAAGCGAUGGUUCGUCCACAGCAGGAUUCAGACCAGCGCAAUCCCAACAGAUUCCGAGCCUGUCUCCUUAACCAUUCAAACAUAUCCACAAUCGUGUUAGCUGUGACGUAGUUUUAUGUAUAAAUGAAAACUGUAUACAAGAUUGAAUAGCGGACACAACGCAGCAACAGCAGCGGCAACUUUUAUGUUACAGGUAUGUCGACUUCAAGGUUGUUCCACAAUGACCAUCCGGCGGGAUAGUUGAGUCGGGGAGGUUCUAAGUUGAAAUUCCAGACCAUAACUCGGUUGCAAUUGUCUGGAAGACCCUCUAUCUGACGCUCGCUUUUAACAAGCUUCUCAAUAAAUCGUGACUCCUGCAACGAUUAAAUAUUCAGGUCAGCCGAUCAAUUUGAUAUUGGGUCACAAAAAAUAGCCAUGAUGCAGUUCUAUUUUCUUCUGAUAUACUAAUGGACUUAGCUGCUUAAAGAGACUAUUGGUGGCAGUUUACAUUGAUUUUGCCUUCAUAACAAUUUUAUCCAUUUGCUAACCAAUAUUAUGUUUCAUUUCAUGCCACACUGGCCAUUUCUCAGAUAGAAACUGAUUGCAGUUUGCUCCAUGGAGAUCUUGUAGAUAGAAAACCAACCAAGCAGCGACAGAAUUACACAGAAAUAUUUCCAUUGAAUUAUUCUAAUGUGCUUGACUAUGCACAGCGUUGCGAAACAAAACUCACCUGCAAACCGCCUCUUCCACCAGAGUGGACGAUGACAGAAUCCAAAGCUGGGCGGUUCCACCUCUGAGGAUCCCAGAGCAUUGUACUGUUGAAAGCAAACCCAGAAAAACCAAUAGGGAACCGACGAGGUGCACCCUUCUUCUGAAUUGUGUUCCAUCCAGUGAUUCGAUUACCUUUACACACUGGACCUUCUAAAACAACCCUGUACUUACUUCCAUCAUGGAUUGCUACAGGCCAUGUGCCAAAGCGCCUGCAGAAAAAAGAACAAGCUUGUAACAGAGAGAAGGAGAUUCCUUUCAUCUGAAAUUUCUGAUAAGCAGUGUAAAGGCAACCAAAAAAGUGAAUCUGGAUAAUCCAUUAUUGCUUAGGAUGAUGUUUCACCUCCUACAGCAAAUUUACUUCACAGGUUUCACCAUUUAAAGACUACUCACAACUAAUUAAAUUCUUUACAAAUUAUCGCCAUUUUGCAUAUCUUCUCGAGUUAUAGCACCUAAUUUGGUACUCUCAUCAGUCCUCACUAUGCUAAACUGAAAACACAGCAUAGAUUUAUAGUACCUUCUAUUAUAUUUUGGCAGUGAAGAUCAAAUUCAAAACUGCUUUAAAAAUAAUUAAAAAGCUACUGGCUGGAACCUCAUACUGUUUGCCAUAACAAUGAGUUGGUUUGGAAACAAAGAACUUCCUAGACCUGAUUCAGUAUCACUCAUUAAGCAUCUUGGGCGUAGUCCAAACAACUAGUUUAAAAUGAAUUAAAACUGCAAGACUUAGAUUAGGUCCUGUUCUAAGUGGGAUUGUCGAUCUUAAUAAUUUUCAUACUCCCUCAGAUCCAUAAUAAGUGUCGCUGAUUUAGUACAACUUUGUACUGCAUCAAUGACACUUAUUAUGGAUCAGAGGGAGUUCUUUUUUUACAAGGUACAGCAGGCCCAUUCCACUCACAUCAUAGUCCAUAGAUAGGAAAGGUUUUUGUGCCACUGAUACUCACCAGUAUAAGCUAAGUUCAACCAUUCAAAGGUAAGGAACUCUAGGAGAGAGCUUUCUGUUGCAAUGCAAAUACAGAAUACAGACCCAGCACACAACUCUAGGAGCAAAGCUUUCUGUUUUGGCUAUGGUUUACUAAAGAUACCGCUAAUUUCCAGAAAUCCAAGUGAUGGGUAUGCAAUUUUGAAACCCACUGUGUUGUCUGUUAUCAAUAUCCAACUGCAGUACAAGUGUACAUACUAGAAAUGCCCAGAGAUUCCUUGAGAAGGAAGUAUUUAGCACUCUACUCAAUGUUCACUAACUUUGUUAGCAAGGAACAUGUAACACCCAACCUAGCACUGACUUUUGUCAUAAGCAAGGAAGAUGUAACGUUUCACUCACACAAUAUACAUGAGCAAAGGAACAAUGUUUCUAUAGUUUGAUAAGCAUAAUCCCUUUUUCCUGGCAGGGUAAUUCCACAGUUUUAUUUAUACAACAAAAGGGUUCAAAUUCCCGUUUUGAAUCAUCCAUGCAUUCAUAAUUUAUUCAAUAUAUUGGUAGAGCAAAUGAUGUUUUGGUGGAGAAUUGUCACCUGAUUCUCCGCAUUUCUUCAAAUACAUCACCCAUGUAUGAUCGCUCUUCAUCAGCGAAAUGCACUAUACCAUCAAGGUGGUGCUUUUUAAUAUGAUAGAUUGCAUUAUUCCUUUGACAGACAGCAAUCUUCCGUACACUGGUAAUAUUCUUCCUGCAGACAAGAUGCCUGUACAUAACCCCAGAAGACCUCAGGAUUUCUUCUGUCUCAAAGGUAGUACCAGGCCAUUCCACCACUAACCAUAAAAGAGGAGGUGGCACACCUUUCAAAACAUGAGCUAGACGAUUCAAGUAAUACGCCUGUUGUGGCCGAACAGAAGUGACUGUCACCACUAUCAGAAGCUUCCUCACUGGGAUGACCAAAUCAUUAAUAGCGGGUAUUGCACGUGAUGCUUCGACAAAAUCAACCUCAUCAUCCAACAUUGGAGGAACCGGAGGACUCUCUUCAACCUCAGGCUCGUCAAUCACCUCAACCUCUUUCUGCACUACGAUUGCAUCCAAUUCCUUAACUUUACCAUCCACCAUUUCCCUCUCAACCACCCCAUUAUCGAAUGGAAGCUCUGAGACUAUCUUCUGGGAGACAUCAACCGAGAAGAAUGGCGUGAACCCAAUGAAGAUGCCGACCAAGAAACAUACAAACAGCCGAAAUGCAACUCUCUUGCAGAUCAGGCACUUAGAUUUUGAUCUCUCGGGCGAUCGCCAUGUGGAUCUGAGCCUGCUUGACCACAAAACAAAGUCCAGAGAGGCCAACGAAGCCAGCAGCCCCCUCAUCACGACGUACGACUGCGAAUAUAGCAAUUUAGGAGAUGGCGAGGGGUCAGCAAACUGGGACCAGUCCUUGGCCUGGCCGUCUCGGUGGAAUGCCCCUGUGGAAUUCCUUCUGCUAGACACCAUUCCAAUAUCAUUAUGCAUGUAUGCCUCCUAAAUUUCUCAGAAGCGCUUGCGUUUUAGUCCAGGAACACUGCUCUUACUAUCACUUCUGAUCAUGCGGACAAAUGAAGCGGAAUUGUACCUGCAAAAUAACCAGUUGCAAGAAUUGCCUCUGAUCAGCUCAAAAUAAAACUACAUAGGCUCAUCCAUCCACAUAACAUGCAAAAUUAGAACCUCUUCUACUACAGUAGUUCAGCCAGCGAGAUCUGCAAGAGCACCGCAGAGACACAGAUAGGAGACAUCUCCCCACACCAACCGACUAAAUCAACUAGCUACUCCAGAUUGCCAAAACCAGGAUCACCUACCAGGCUGGGGGCGGAGCUACAGCGGCACAAGGGUGCAUACCCACUAGUUUUGGCAAAUAAAACUAAUUAGGAAAUAUGCUACUAUGAAAUACAAAGCAAUUCGAAAAGGAUUUCAACCAAGCAGCCCACUUUUUAUUCACCUCAUUUUCGCCCCCAAAAUCCCAUUCAUCCAGCCCAACAUGCAAAAAAAAAAAGCACAACCGGCUGCUGCAACUCCAGGAACCCCAAUUGGAACGGAAAUCAAUCGGAGGCAAGCAGCCGUGCGGGUUACAGGUGCGGAUCUAGAACGUGUGCACCCGGAAAUUGUGAAGAGCAGUGGGAAUUAUCUAUUUGGGGGCGGGCGGAGAGGAGAGGAGAGCGAGGUGAGGUAGGAGAAAGGGGAUGAAGCUUGACUUACAGCUUGCAACGGCUGAGGAGAUCACUGCCGUCGCGGAAGUCACGGAGCGAGGCGGCCGGCCCUGGCCCCUGGGUUGGCGCUGUAGUGACGCAGCGACGCCAGCCGGGCAGGGUUAGCGCGGCCGUCGAGGGAGAGACAGAGCGGCGGCGCAACCGGCCGGGAUUAGCACCGUGGAGGAAGGGAGCGCCGUUGAGGGGAGAGAGCACGGCUAGAUCGUGGGGAAUUUCGGAUCGGGACCUCGGCUGUGCUAUGCCGUGGUAGGAGGAAGAGGAACAAGCACGCCCUCCCCCAACGACGGGUGCCUUGUGCAGUGGUUGAAACCAAGCUCCAAUGAUACCGUUUCCUUCUUCGUGUAAAUAGCUAUGCAUUUUUCAGUAGAACUUUUGAACAUUAUUUUAUGUGUUGAAUGAAAAAUUUACAGGCAAGGACAAAGGAACAAUGAUAUUAGUACUGUAGUAGAAGUUCUCAAAGGACCAUAUUUUCUACGCUUACGUGUUCUAGAAUCAGAAGACGUGUAUACUUGUGACUGAUUAAUUCUUUUAUGACCGGAUCUUGACACUUUCUCCAAUAAAUAUAAUGGGAAGAAAUAGUGAGAACCAGUAGUAAUCAGCAUGGCAACCUCAAGGUCUCUAGGGUAAUCACACACCAGAGCACGACUUUCUGCGAUAUGACAUCAAUUAACAGCCCAAGCUUAUUGUACUAACGUGUCCCUCUCACCAGAAGCCGAUGUUUCUCUCCAAGUGCAACCUGACAACAAGAAAAAACCCAAGAAAAUUUAGCCAGGAAAAUAGGGUCAUUUGUGAGUCAGCGAUAACGCACAGCUUAAACCGGUGGCGCAGGACCGGUCGUGAGUCGGGCCUCGAUCCUCAAGGUUGCUACGUGGCGCUCAUCGGAGACCACCAGAUGCCAGAUUUAACGGCCUCCGUGUCGCCUGGCGGUAGGUGGUGCAUGACGGCUGGGCCCCAGUCAGCAGCGCCCUACCUACCUGCGCAAUAGUUGGCCCGGUCGGCGGCGACGGCGAGUCGUUGUAGUGGUUACCACGUCGGCUGAUUGUAUCCAACGGCAAGAAGCAUGGAUCAUUUGUACUGAGACGGAUCGCGAGAAGCAUGUGGGUCCCGUAUGCAGUGACGUGCACGUGCAUUCGGUUGUGCUUACUGCUGGCUUUUCACAACGGAAUAUUCAGCGACCGGCGGGGACAAAGGGAAGAGUGGCCCACGUGCUCAAUUCCUUCCGCUUGUGAGUAACUAUAACAUAAUCGUGUUUUUGUUCUUUAGACAAAAUGUAACAACCUAAUCAUGUUGUGGUUCGGCUGCUUAGUCUUUUAGUCGAAAUGGCCGUCCGAUUAUUCUUCCCCUUUGCCAGCCCCAUAUGAUUGGCGUUGGCGAGAAAGAAUGUACUCCCUAAGCAUUUUCAGUAUUGAACUAGAGUGAAGCGUUACUUUGAUUCAAAGGAUUUUCAUAGGGAUUUUGGAGGAUUUGAAUCCUUAGGAUUUUUUUCAUAUGAGUUGUUUGAUUUGUAGGAUUGAAUCCCAUGAAUUUUUUUCCUAAGGAUUUUAUUGCAUUACAGUAGGAAUUUUUCGAUCCACUCCAAUCUUUUUUUCAAAUUCCUUUGUUUUUCGUGUGCUCAAUCAAACAAACAUUGGUCUAACCACAAUCAUGUAGGUUUCGAAUGGCCAUGACAUUGCAAUUCUACAGUUUUCGUAUUCUUGUAUUUUUUUAUCCUGCGAAUCAAAGAGGCCCGAGACCUUUUUUUUAAAGCUUGUGAGUACUAGUAAUUGAGUACAUGUGGACUAUUGAUACGUACAGUACUGCCUAAGCAUCUUCAGUAUUGAACUAGAGUGAAUAUCUAGAUUUUUAGUCGAGUCGGCCGGAUACGAUGCAUAUAUAGAUUUGGCUUUUUUUUAGAAAAUCUAUAGCUAGCUAGCUAGGUACGCCCUGCGUUUCCUAUCUAUCUAGUAAUAACAAAUCUCAGUUGUUGGAGCGACUACAACAACUGAUCAAUCGGUCAGCCUCCACACGCAGGUCUACCAGAAACAAUGUUGUUGGCGUUUCAUGAUGCAUGUCGUGAAUGCUUUGCUUAAAGCUCCUCCUCCAACUAAUCCCAUUAGCUGAUGCUGACACUCGUGUAUGCACCAACUACGUUAAGAAAAAGAAAAAAGAAUCCUUUACAAAAGAAUUGAGAAAGGAACCAGUUCUCAGGACAAUUUGCACCGACGACGACCGGUUCGUACAUCGAUCCUGCUGUCUGGUUCACAUUUGCACUGGAUUAACUGGUAUAUACCUUUCCUGUUCCCCAUUUCAUGUAUCUCUCUCGAUGUUCGAUUAGUCAGCAUUUUGUGAUGUCUUUGUGUGGGGGGAAAAACUCGAGUCUAAAAAAAAAUGCAGGCCUUGUGUUACACUGCAAUUAAAGAUUACUGUUCGUAAUUGGUUCGUUCCCAUUCGAAUUGAUCAAGUGAUCAUUAUAUUUAACACUUUUAGUUAUCAGUGUCUUCUUCCCCGGCGUGCUUCUAUUAAUUAACCUGAUAAAGCAUUCACAUGUGCACUUUGUAUAACAUGACUGCAGAAGAGAGUGUUGUUGCAAACAAACGCGAGAUUAGAUUACUCUGGUGUUGCCACUAACCAAAGGCAUGAUGCGGCCAUGCAGGUCCAGCAUGAUUGUCAUCAAAAGUGACCGGCCAUGUGCUCCCUUUUUUUAAGAACUACAGUAAAACAGAUGGCAGAUGGGAAUGCGGAGGCGGAGAAAAUGGCUGGCAAAUGUUUCGGUGAUACUCGUUGUAAGUCUGGGCCUAUUCUUGCUAGGCACUUUCAAACGGGCUCUCUCACCAAAAAAAGAGGGGAAAAAACGGCUUAACGGGCUGUAUGCCUAGAAAGCUUAAUGGAGUCUACUAACUGGGCUUGGGCCUUCCUCCAAAAAAGGUUUUGGGUGGUCGCGGUGGUGUGUGUGGGGGCGCCUGGUGGUUAAGAAAGUUUAAUUAAUAUAAAUUGUGCGCCAUGGCUCUUCCUCUUCUGUGACGACACUUUACCGGACGAAGCAGAGAUAUCUUUCAUCCACAGGUUCGAUGUGUGUGAUCUUGCGAACUUUAGGUUCGUUUCCUCGCAGAACCGCUCAUACAUAUAUGAUGAGUUGUUGCUAGUGUGUCCUAGUGCUUUUAUUGGCAUGGUUUUUCUAUGGCAUUUGAGUCUUUCUUUGAUGUUCAGAUCAAGACUAGACGGGCCAGCGCGCUUCGCUGCGCCGUCGUUUUAUGAGUCUUGAGUUAUUAAUCUUUGAAAUUUUGGAUUUUUGCUAUAUUUAUACAAGAGCGGGGCUGCUUAAGCACAUAACCAACAUCGUUUUUCAUGCCUGGACAAUAAAAGCAUAAUAAAUUAACCACCUUGCAUGUAAGAAUGCGUGUCUACAAUGAUGCGUAUAGAACGAUAGCAUAUUUCCAAAAUUUUCCGUACUUGUUUGGCUCCAAGGUAAUUUCAUAGUUCUGCAGGAAAGUAGCAAAUUCAAUAAUUAACACAAUUCUAGAGCCAAAAUAUGUAGUGCCAUGUCCUCAAAAACAGAAAAAAAAAAUGAAGCUUUGAUUUCACAGAGCCACCAACAAUAUCCAACCAAACAAUCAACCAAUCGGAAGAUCUCCGUAAAUUAAAACUUCAGAAAAAAUGGUUAUCUUAAGGAGCAUAGUUAACAGAGAAAACUAACAAACGAAAAAGUCUAACUUCUUGAAGUAUUUCCCAUACAAUCGGUAUCAUUCUUGACCGAAAAAUGGUUAUCUUAAGGAGCAUAGUUACCAGAGAAAACUAACAAAGAAAAACUGAACAAUUCAUAUAAUCUUCUGGAUGACCUGUGACCUUCAAGAUUCAUCAGUUAAAACCGAACAAUUCAAUAAAAGCUUUUGGAUGACCUGUAACCUUCAAGAUCAUCAGUCAAUGCUUUACAUAGAAGGAACCAACAAACCUGUCUAAUGCUUCACCUGUAAAAAAGAGAAGCACCGGGCAUUUUAGGCACUUGUGUUCUAUUAAACAAAUCUCACAGUAUUCCUAUGAGAAAUCAGAAUUUUUCAAUCAACAUAACAAACUGAAAGAAAGCGCGAACAUGAUGUAUUGAUUCUUGACACAAGGAAAUGAACUCAAAUGAUACAUGCAUAUGGAACAUUUAUAGUUUUAUGUGAACUCUAGAAAAAUAUGUACCAAAUUAGCAUCAUUUUAUUUUUCAACUAUUACAAAAGAAUUGAGAAAUUUCUUUGAUUCCGUAUGAUCAUGAAGUCAGCACCAUUAGGUGUUUCAAAUAACAGAAGGAACAUGCUUAGUAGAAGGGAACCUCUCAGCACUAUCUAGCUUCCUUCCAACACAAAUUUUCUCUAGAGCAAUUACAGGAGUAUCUUUAAGUAACAUAAAUAACCAAUCAAAAGAUCUAGGAAUUGCAAGUUUGUACAACAACCAUUACAUGCCAUUUGGUUUCAAUAGAAAAUAAUAAGAGGAACAACACAACCGAUGAACUUGAAUUUCAUACUACUAAACGACAUAUCCAUGAUACAUUGGAGCAGGUUAACAAAAAUCCGAAGACGUCGAGAAAAAGAAGAUAGCUUUCUCACUACGGGAAGAAACAAUAUAACAUGAUCACAUCUUUAAAUGACAUAUCUCGGCUCUAAGAUAGCGCAAACACAGUAGACAGAAGUUUAGGGAAAAUAAAAACCACUAACCUUGGUCAAGUGUAAAGUUAAAUCAUGUUAAUAAACCCUGAACCAUGUCGUCCUCGGAACUGUGGAAUGCAAAGAUGUACUAAGCACAGAAGUGGGGUUUGCUUCAGUCAUUGUUACACCACAAUAAUUUGGAGAGCAUGAAAUCCAAAUCCAAAUCUUUCACUAUUAAACAUACAAUAAUUACUCACAAGCACACGAACUACAUAGGAGCAUAUUUAGCACCAUGAUUAGCACUGUCGUAAUCAGCGAAAGCGGUUGGGAAAGCUAAGGCAAAUAUUCCAGCAGGCCAGACUACCAAAGGGCAAGCCCAACUAAGGAGAGAACUAAAAAUCAAGCACCACCACCUCAAAAUAAUCAUUUCAGCCCAUAAGGUCAGGAUGAUCUCUAGCUAAAACUGCACCGGAGAGAUUAGCAUCAGUGCAAGAACAGAUUAACAAAAUUGCACAAGAAAGGGAAAUGGUGUAAGGGCUGAAUUUGCUGCACAAUUGGAGGAAAAGGUUCUUCUCUCUCCCAACUUUGCAUACACAUAGCAAAUUAUAAUUUCCUAGCAGCACCAUCCAUCCAUCCAUCCAGAACCUUAAUUCACAGCCUGCAAAUUGCAAGAAGCCUCGAACAAACUUGUCAAUUUGUCCUAUAUACACAGCCUGAAGCACUACAGCGAAAUCUAAAACAAGGUUAAUGCUGUCCUGUGUACACUGAGAUUCAGAAUCGAAAUUCACCAACAAUUUUGACUCUAGCUAGUUCUUUAGGACAGAACAAGAAGUAGGAAAGAUCCAACCUGAGAGGUAAGCAAUGCAUCAUCUGGUGGAUCCUAAUGGCACAAAGGAAAAGAAAUAGACCACUGACCAACACGAAAAUAACUUGGAUCUCAAGGAGAAGAGGAGGAGGGAGAUCUUGAGGAGCAAUAAGAAACAAAUUGGAUUGAAUCUCAAAUGGAUGGGAUGUAGAACACAAACCGGCGGGUUUGGUCUCUCUCGGGCACCCCUGUGCGCGCUCACUGGUGGCCGGUAUCCACGGCCCGCUUGUGGCCCUGCCCUGCGCCGACUCUUUCGCUUUGGCGCCGGCGGCGUCACGCGGCCAUCUCGCCUAGCCGACCACGACCACCACCUGAACCUCAUCGGCCAGUUCAGCCCUAGAAGAACGCCAUGGCCAGAACGGGCGGCUACCAAAGUACAGCAAAACAAAAACAAAAGGAAAUGGUUUCUUCAGACCUGGGGCAUCAACAAAUCCACCAAAGUACAUCAAAACAAAAAUGAAUAGUGGAGUAUGCACAUCAAACACAUCGAAGCAUUGGUUCCUAAAUUCCUUGGGAAAAUAACAGCGGAGACAUAUCCAAAAAUCCAUCAGAAAACCCCCCAAAAGAACACGGAACACCUCCUCACCGAAUUUCGAAAAGUGGUACACGAAUUGAAACACGGUCAGACCAGGAGUGGCGGACGGCAACGUUGGCGAUGCAGAGAGAGAUGAUCAGUGAAGAGAGCGUUCGAGGAAGGCUCGGGAAGGAUCGAGAAGGGCUUCG